rnacentral:lncRNA from 1 species
UUCUUUUUUGUUUAUGUAGUUUCUGCCCUUAGAUCUAUUUCUCAACGGUAUAGAUUACAUAGGUACUUACGCCUUCGGUCUUUUAGAUAAAACCGAUCGGUUUUUCUUUCACUUAAGUUUAGCCGAAGCGAAUUAGUUAAAUAGCGGCCGUUUGUUAGUUAUCCCUGCAGCACUCACCCCCUUAGCCAAUUAGAAAAUGCCACGUGGACCCCUGUCCACAAAUCAGUUUUUUUCCCUUUUUCUGUUUUAAUUCCAAAAGAGAGAAAGUUUCAAUUUUUUUGAUCAUAACUUUUGAUCCCGAAGUCCAAUAGAGUUGAUUCUUUUUCCAGUAGCUCACAAAUUUCCUGUAGUUUGUAAAAACAUAUAAUUUGUCUAUGUUUGAAAUUUUCAAAUUUGAGUUAGAUCAGACUUAGUUUAAACCUUGUUUUGCUUAUUCCAGGAGUUUAAAAAUAGCUUUUAAUUUGAUUCUUUUUGCUACUGAUCACUAGUGAUCCUAUGUAUCAGUGGUAAAAAUUGAAGAAUUGUUUGAGUAUUUUAGCUCACUGUUUCUUGUGAAACAAUUUCUGUUUCACCUCUUUUAGGAUUGCGACUAAUUCCUUUUGUAGAAUUAUUUUUAAAAUAUCUUCUUUAUUAUUUCAGAAAUAUUAUUGUUUUGUUUAUGUUAGUUAACAGUAGUUUUGCAACAAGUGUUGGUUUUAUUUUUAUUUGUUNNNNNNNNNNNNNNNNNNNNNNNNNNNNNNNNNNNNNNNNNNNNNNNNNNNNNNNNNNNNNNNNNNNNNNNNNNNNNNNNNNNNNNNNNNNNNNNNNNNNCUUCGGUCUUUUAGAUAAAACCGAUCGGUUUUUCUUUCACUUAAGUUUAGCCGAAGCGAAUUAGUUAAAUAGCGGCUGUUUGUUAGUUAUCCCCGCAGCACUCACCCCCUUAGCCAAUUAGAAAAUGCCACGUGGACCCCUGUCCACAAAUCAGUUUUUUCCCUUUUUCUGUUUUAAUUCCAAAAGAGAGAAAGUUUCAAUUUUCUUUUGAUCACAACUUUUGAUCCCGAAGUCCAAUAGAGUUGAUUCUUUCUCCAGUAGCUCACAAAUUUCCUGUAGUUUUCAAAAACAUAUAAUGUGUCUUUGUUUGAAAUUUUCAAAUUUGAGUUAGAUCAGAUUUAGUUUAGACCUUGUUUUGCUUAUUCCAGGAGUUUAAAAAUACCUUUUAAUUUGAUUCGUUUUGCUACUGAUCACUAGUGAUCCUAUGUAUCAGUGGUAAAAAUUGCAGAAUUGUUUGAGUAGUUUAGCUCACUGUUUCUUGUGAAACAAUUUCUGUUUCACCUCUUUUAGGAUUGCGACUAAUUCCUUUUCUAGAAUUGUUUUAAAAAUAUUUUAUUUACUAUUUCAGAAAGAUUAUUGUUUUGUUUAUGUUAGUUAACAGUAGUUUUGCAACAAGUGUUGAUUUUAUUUUUAUUUGUUNNNNNNNNNNNNNNNNNNNNNNNNNNNNNNNNNNNNNNNNNNNNNNNNNNNNNNNNNNNNNNNNNNNNNNNNNNNNNNNNNNNNNNNNNNNNNNNNNNNNAUAUAUAGGAGGAGGGAGGGGAGGCUUGCCUUGAGGCUCAAGGAGCCCCAAGGGCUGCGCCACCAAGCGAGGAGGAGUCCUCCUCCAAUCCUAGUCCAACUAGGAUUGGAAAGUGGUGUCCUUCUCUCCUUUCCCACCUCCUUUUUUUUUCUUUCUCUUUGAUUUUCUAUCCUUGGCGCAUAGGACCUUCUUGGGCUGUCCCACUAGCCCACCAAGGGCUGGUGCGCCACCCCCAAGGCCUAUGGGCUUCCCCGGGGUGGGCUGCCCCCCCCCCCUGGUGAACACCCGGAACCCAUUCGUCAUUCCCGGUACAUUCCCGGUAACUCCAAAAACCUUCCGGUAAUCAAAUGAGGUCAUCCUAUAUAUCAAUCUUCGUUUCCGGACCAUUCCGGAAACCCUCGUGACGUCCGUGAUCUCAUCCGGGACUCCGAACAACAUUCGGUAACCAACCAUAUAACUCAAAUACGCAUAAAACAACGUCGAACCUUAAGUGUGCAGACCCUGCGGGUUCGAGAACUAUGUAGACAUGACCCGAGUGACUCCUCAGUCAAUAUCCAAUAGCAGGACCUGGAUGCCCAUAAUGGAUCCCACAUAUUCUACGAAGAUCUUAUCGUUUGAACCUCAGUGCCNNNNNNNNNNNNNNNNNNNNNNNNNNNNNNNNNNNNNNNNNNNNNNNNNNNNNNNNNNNNNNNNNNNNNNNNNNNNNNNNNNNNNNNNNNNNNNNNNNNNAUAGGCCUUGAGGGUGGUGCACCAGCCCUUAGUGGGUUGGUGGGACAGCCCAAAAGGGCCCCAUGCGCAUUGGAAGAAAAAUCAAAGAGAAAGAAAAAAAGGAGGAGGUGGGAAGGGAAGGAAGGACUCCCACCCACCAAACCAAGUCCAACUCGGUUUGGGGGGGGGAGACCUUCCCCCUUGGCUCGGCCAACCCCCUUGGGGUGCUUGAGCCCCAAGGCAAGGCCCCCCUCUCCCACCUAUAUAUACGGAGGUUUUAGGGCUGAUUUGAGACGACUUUUCCACGGCAGCCCGACCACAUACCUCCAUGGUUUUUCCUCUAGAUCGCGUUUCUGCGGAGCUCGAGCGGAGCCCUGCUGAGACAAGGUCAUCACCAACCUCCGGAGCGCCGUUACGCUGCCGGAGAACUCUUCUACCUCUCCGUCUCUCUUGCUGGAUCAAGAAGGCCGAGAUCAUCGUCGAGCUGUACGUGUGCUGAACGCGGAGGUGCCGUCCGUUCGGUGCUAGAUCAUGGGACUGAUCGCGGGAUAGUUCGCGGGGCGGAUUGAGGGACGUGAGGACGUUCCACUACAUGAACCGCGUUCACUAACGCUUCUGCUAUACGGUAUACAAGGGUACGUAGAUNNNNNNNNNNNNNNNNNNNNNNNNNNNNNNNNNNNNNNNNNNNNNNNNNNNNNNNNNNNNNNNNNNNNNNNNNNNNNNNNNNNNNNNNNNNNNNNNNNNNACAAGCAUCCCACUUAUGAUUAACCCCUCUCGCAAGCAUCCGCAACUACGAAAGAAGAAUUAAGACAAAGUCUAACCAUAGCAUUAAACUAGUGGAUCCAAAUCAGCCCCUUACGAAGCAACGCAUAAACUAGGGUUUAAGCUUCUGUCACUCUAGCAACCCAUCAUCUACUUACUACUUCCCAAUGCCUUCCUCUAGGCCCAAAUAAUGGUGAAGUGUUAUGUAGUCAACGUUCACUUAAAACCACUAGAGGAAAAUAAACAUACAACAUAUCAAAUUACCGAACGAAUACUAAAUUCACAUGACUAAUAUUAGCAUGACUUAUCCCAUGUCCUCAGGAACAAAAUUAACUACUCACAAAGCNNNNNNNNNNNNNNNNNNNNNNNNNNNNNNNNNNNNNNNNNNNNNNNNNNNNNNNNNNNNNNNNNNNNNNNNNNNNNNNNNNNNNNNNNNNNNNNNNNNNNNNNNNNNNNNNNNNNNNNNNNNNNNNNNNNNNNNNNNNNNNNNNNNNNNNNNNNNNNNNNNNNNNNNNNNNNNNNNNNNNNNNNNNNNNNNNNNNNNNNNNNNNNNNNNNNNNNNNNNNNNNNNNNNNNNNNNNNNNNNNNNNNNNNNNNNNNNNNNNNNNNNNNNNNNNNNNNNNNNNNNNNNNNNNNNNNNNNNNNNNNNNNNNNNNNNNNNNNNNNNNNNNNNNNNNNNNNNNNNNNUGGUGACGAGUCCCCUUCGAUGAGAGGAGUGUUGGUGAUGACGAUGGCGAUGAUUUCCCCCUCCGGGAGGGAAGUUUCCCCGGCAGGAUCGUCCUGUCGGAGCUCUAGAUUGGUUCUACUCAAGUUCCGCCUCGUGGUGGCGGAGAAACCACGAAAAAGCUCCUCCGUGAUUUUUUUUUCUGGACGAAACCCUCCAUAUAGCAAAAGAAGGGAGCAAGUGGGCCAGUGGGCUGCCCACAAGCCCUCAUGGCGCGUCCUGGGGGUGACCGUGUCGUGCAGGCUUGUGGGCACCCCCUGGUGCCCCUCCGGCACUUCUUCGGCCUAGUAUUUUUGAUAAAUCGGGAAAAAAAUCCUCGUUGAUUUUUACGGCGUUUGGAGUUGCGCAGAAUAGGCAUCUCAACUUUGCUCCACUUUCAGGCAAGAAUUCCAGUUGCCGGCAUUCUCCCUCUUCAUGUAAACCUUGCAAAAUAAGAGAGAAAAGGCAUAAGAAUUGUACCGUGAAGUGAAAUAACAGCCCAAGAAGCGAUAAAUAUCAGCAUGAAAACAUGAUGCAAAAUGUACGUAUCAACUCCCCCAAGCUUAGACCUCGAUUGUCCUCAAGCGAAAGCCUAGCUCACUAAAUAUGUCCACAUGUUUAGGGAGCAAGGUGUCGACAAAACAAGAUAUGAACAUGCAUGCAUCAUGAUCAAGAUCAGAACAGCAAUACCAACAUAUAAUCUCUCAUGCUAAAGUAACAAUUCAUUCACAAAGUAAAGCAUGGAUCAAGAACCUUACCGAGAAGUAACAACCGAUAGCCUCUAGUCAUUGAAGCAAUUGCAAUUUAUCACAACAUCAGAAAGAGUCAAAUAAGAGCUUGUAAAGCAAAUCCACAUACUCAACCAUUCUUUCAUUCUCUACAAUUGCUACAACUCACGUGGUACUCAUGAGAUCAAAGUUUCAGCUGGACACAGAGAAAGAUAGGGGCUUAUAGUUUUUGCCUCCCAACUGCUUACCUCAAGGGUAAUGUCAACAAUAAUAAUUCAUGAAUACUCACCUCCAAGUUGACAUAUGAAUAAAGAUCUUUCCCAAGCAUAUGACGGUAGCCAAGAUAAAGGCGAAAUAAGGAAUUGGUGAAGAUCACCAUGACUCUUUCAGGGGCGAAAAGUAAAGGUACAAGGUAGGCCCUUCGCAGAGGGAAGCAGAGGUUGACAUGCGCUUUUGAGGUUUGGAUGCGUGUCCUCUUAGUGCGGAGGAACGUCACUUUAUAUUGCCUCCUGUGAUAAAGAACUUUAUUAUGCAGUCUGUCGCUUUUAUGUAUUCCUCAUCAUAGGUUCGUAUAAAGCUUAUUUUCCACACACUAAUAGAUCAUACAUAUUAGAGAGCAAUUUUUAUUGCUUGCACCGAUGACAACUUACUUGAGGGAUCUUAUUCAAUCCAUAGGUAGGUAUGGUGGACACUCAUGGCAAAACUGGUUUGAAGGUUUAUGGAUGCACAAGUAGUAUUUCUACUUGGUGCGGGAGUUUUGGCUAAUGUGAGGUGGAAGCAAUCGUCACAUGCUAAGGGAUCUCUAAUCAUAUAACAUUGUUCAGAGCCAAGCAAACACAAUUCAUUAUGUUGUCUUCCUUGUCCAACAUCUACUUCUAGGCAUGUAAUAGUUUAGUGAGUGUUCACAAUCAUAGAUGGUGUCAGAGAUGAUAUAUUUGUAUGUGAAGCUCUCCUUCUUUAUCACUUCCUAUUAAUUGCAACAAUGACCAAGAUCUAUGUUUUCCUACCCUCAACAAGUUUCAACCCUCAUUCUUUUUAUAUGUGAAGCCAUCACUUCCCAUAAGAUCAUUAUAUGAUCUUUCAUGCUUUUGUUCUAUUCUCACUUUGUUGAUCAUGGCAAGAGGCAAAGCCCUUCAACUAAGACACUCUUUAUUAUAUGGCUCACGAGCAAGAAUACAUCGGGGGUGACACAAAGCUAAACUCAAAACUAAAACACUAAGACUUUUUACUCUACUAGAGAAAAAGAAAACUGAAAAGGAAAACUAAAACAAAGGUAAAGGCAAAAGAUGUGAUGGUGAUACGAUACCGGGGCAACUCCCCCAAGCAUGGCACAAGCCAAGGGGAUUGCCCAUACCAAUGCUCAGUUGUCUUCCUUUGGUGGUGACGGUGGAGUUAUUGCAACAUGGGCUUGAUCCUCCGUCUUCCAAGGCAUAGGUGCUACAUCAUGGAAAGAUGAACAAGUCUCUGGAAUCCUCAAAUCUGCAGCCAACCGUAUUGAUUUAAAUCUAUACUCAUACUCACAGUUUUGGUUCUGCAGGUCAUAGAUCUGGCCAUGGAGUUGAUCAAUCCUGUCAUAUAGCCUGGAGAGAUGCUUCCCAAUGUCAUUGGCAUCAAUCCUGUGCUUGUUGGUGAACUCCGUGAUCAUCAUGUGGUUGGCGUUGAGUCCACGCUCCACCAUCCCUUGGCACUUGAAGACUUGUUGCUCCAUUGCUUCGAGCCUCGUCUCCACGCUUCCGGUCUUCUUAGGACCCUCAACAUCACGGAUGUGCAACAUCCCCUCACGCAUCUCGAUAGAUUGAGGGUGUUGCAGCACUCCCGUCAGGUAGGGAUUAAUGACCUUCUCGAAGAUCUUGUCCUUGAGAGCUUUUGGGGAAGUCAUGGUGAUCUAGAUCUGCAACAGAAACAUGCUCGAAACGAAAAACACAGGAAAUCUGCGUGAUGCAGAGGUCACACCAAAUGGAAUUAUAUAUAAUGAUUUUUUUCAGACCAGAAGGAGUGCCCUGCACGAAAACAAAGUCCGGGAGGCGCACGAGGUGGCCAAAAGCCCUCACGGCGCGGCCAGGGGGUGGGCCUGCGCCGUGCAGGCUUGUCGCCUCCUCGCGCACUUUCCGGACUACUUCCAUUUUUUGUAUUUUUUCAAAUAUUCCAAAACGGAGAAAAUUUCCUACUGGAAAAGUUUUGGACUCUAUUUUCUUACUGAAUCACAUACCUCUUCGUUUUCGGAGUCUGAAACAGGUUGAUAAAUAUCCCUUAGGUAUUCUUCCGGAGUUAUGGUAUUUAUGAUAUUGCUUUCAACAUUUAUGGGAGUACCUGAGAUAUAAUGAUUGAUUCUCUGCCCAUUUACAACUAUCUGACAAUUACCUUCCGUGUUGUUGAUCUUGAUAGCACCGGAAUGGUAUACAUCCUCAACAACAUAGGGACCUUCCCAUUUAGAGAGAAGCUUGCCUGCAAAGAAUCUUAAACGAGAGUUAUAUAGCAAGACAUAAUCACCUACAUUGAACUCACGCUCUUGUAUCCUCUUAUCAUGCCACCUCUUAACCUUCUCUUUGAACAACUUGGCAUUCACAUAUGCCUGAGUUCUCCACUCAUCAAGCGAGCUAAUAUCAAAUAACCUCUUCUCACCGGCAAGUUUGAAAUCAAAGUUGAGCUCUUUGACUGACCAAUAAGCUUUAUGCUCUAGCUCAAGAGGUAAAUGACAUGCUUUACCGUACACCAUUUUAUACGGAGACAUGCCCAUGGGAUUCUUAUAGGCAGUUCUAUAAGCCCACAGUGCAUCAUCGAGCUUCUUAGACCAAUUCUUUCUAGACCUGUUGACAGUCUUUUGCAAAAUUAGUUUAAUCUCUCUAUUGCUCAGCUCUACUUGACCACUAGACUGAGGGUGGUAGGGAGACGCAAUUCUAUGGUUGACAUCGUACUUAGCAAGCGUUUUAUGGAAAGCACCAUGAAUGAAGUGUGAACCACCGUUGGUCAUUAGAUAUCUAGGGACUCCAAAUCUAGGGAAGAUAACUUCUUUCAGCAUCUUUCUAGAAGUGUUGUGAUCAGCACUACUAGUGGGGAUAGCUUCUACCCACUUAGUCACGUAAUCAACAACAACUAAGAUAUGAGUAUACCCAUUGGAUUUUGGAAAAAGUUCCAUAUAAUCAAAGCCCCAGACAUCAAAUGGUUCAAUGACAAGUGAAUAGUUCAUAGGCAUUUCCUGAUGUUUGCUAAUAUUACAUAUUCUUUGACAUUCGUCACAAGACAAGACAAACUUACGGGCAUCCUUGAAGAGAGUGGGCCAAUAGAAACCUGAUUGCAAUACCUUGUGUGCAGUUCUAUCUCCCGCAUGGUGUCCUCCGUAGGGCUCGGAGUGACACUUCUGUAGGAUCUGUCCCUGUUCAUGUUCAGGUAAACAACGUCUAAUAACUACAUCUACUCCUUCCUUAUAAAGGUGAGGAUCAUCCCAAAAGUAGUGUCUCAAGUCAAAGAAGAACUUCUUCUUUUGCUGGUACGUGAAACUGGGUGGUAUGUAUUUGGCAACGAUAUAGUUUGCAUAAUCAGCAUACCACGGUGCACUAUGUGAAGCAUUGAUGACAUUCAGUUGCUCAUCGGGAAAGCUAUCAUCAAUAGGUCGUGGGUCAUCAAGAACGUUCUCCAACCUAGACAAGUUAUCUGCUAUUGGGUUAUCAGCACCCUUUCUGUUGACAACGUGCAAAUCAAAUUCUUGUAGCAAGAGAACCCAUCUGAUAAGUCUAGGUUUAGCGUCCUUCUUCUCCAUGAGGUACUUAAUAGCAGCAUGAUCAGUGUGAAUAGUGACUUUGCAAUCCACUAUGUAAGACCUUAACUUUUCACAUGCAAACACGACUGCUAAAAAUUCCUUCUCCGUAGUAGCAUAGUUUCUCUGGGCAGUGUCUAGAGUUUUACUAGCAUAGUGAAUAACAUUCAACUUCUUAUCAACUCUUUGCCCUAGAACAGCACCAACAGCAUAAUCACUAGCGUCACACAUGAUCUCAAAAGGCAAGUUCCAAUCAGGUGGUUGAACAAUAGGUGCAGUUAUCAAAUCCCUCUUAAGUAUUUCGAAGGCUUCCUCACAAUCAUCAUCAAAAACAAAAGGAAUAUCCUUUUGCAAGAGAUUGGUAAGAGGCCUAGAAAUUUUAGAGAAGUCUUUAAUGAACCUUCUAUAGAAACCAGCAUGACCAAGGAAACUUCUUAUAGCUUUGAUAUCUGUCGGGUAUGGCAUUUUCUCGAUUGCAUCAACCUUAGCCUUAUCGACUUCAAUACCUCUUUCGGAAAUUUUAUGUCCUAAGACGAUGCCUUCAUUAACCAUAAAGUGGCACUUCUCCUAAUUCAAGACAAGAUUGGUGUCUUUAAAUCUCUAUAAGACUCGAUCAAGGUUGCUCAGGGAAUCUUCAAAAUAAGACCCGUAAACGGAAAAGUCAUACAUGAAAACCUCGACAAUCUUUUCACAAAAGUCAGAGAAUAUAGUCGUCAUACAUCUUUGAAAGGUGGCAGGUGCAUUACAUAAACCAAAAGGCAUACGUCUAUAAGCAAAGGUACCGAAAGGGCAGGUGAAAGUGGUUUUCUCCUGAUCAGAUUGUGCAACUGGUAUUUGGGAGAAACCAGAAUAACCGUCUAGAAAGCAGAAGUGUGUGUGUUUCGAUAGUGUUUCUAGCGUUUGGUCGAUAAAAGGCAGAGGGUAAUGAUCUUUCCUAGUGGCCUUAUUCAACUUCCUAAAAUCAAUCACCAUCCUAUAGCCAGUAAUAAUCCUCUGUGGGAUCAAUUCAUCCUUAUCAUUAGGGACAACGGUAAUGCGUCCCUUCUUAGGAACGCAAUGCACCGGACUCACCCAAUCGCUAUGAGCAACACGAUAGAUAAUACCCGCUUCCAGGAGCUUUAGUAUUCCUUUUCUCACUACUUCUUUCAUCUUAGGAUUUAAUCUCCUUUGAUGAUCAGCGACUGGUUUGAAAUCAGGAUCAGUUUUAAUAUUAUGCUGGCAUAGAGUAGGACUAAUGCCCUUAAGAUCAUCAAGAGUAUAUCCAAUAGCAGCACGGUGCUUCCUCAGAGUUUUUAGUAACUUCUUUUCUUCAUGCUCUGAGAGGCUAGCACUAAUAAUGACAGGAUAUAUCUCCUUUGCAUCAAGAUAGGCAUACUUAAGAGUAUCAGGCAACUGUUUAAGCUCGAACACAGGAUCACCCUUUGGUGGAGGUGGAUCCCAAGCAGUUCAACAGGCACAUUAUUCUUAAGGAUAGGAUAUUGUUCUAAGAUAACUCUAUCUAUUUCAUCCCUUUCAUCCAUAUGCAUAUCAUUUUCAUGCUCAAGCAAAUAUUUCUCUAAUGGAUCAGUAGGGGGCACGGCUAUAAAGGCUAAGGCAAUCGUUUCAUCCCUACUAGGAAACUCCUUUUCAUGAGGUUGUCUACCAAACUUGGAGAAAUUGAACUCAUGUGACACACCUUCAAAGCCAACAGUGACAGUUAGCUUCUCACAGUCAAUGUGAGCAUUGACGGUAUUGAGAAAAGGUCUACCAAAUAUGAUGGGACAAAAGCUAUCUUGUGCGGUAGCAAGAACGAGGAAAUCAGCAGGAUACUUCCUUUUACCACACAAGACUUCAACAUCCCUAACAAUUCCCACAGGGCAGAUAGUAUCUCUAUUGGCAAGCUGAAUAGUGACAUCAAUAGGCUCUAUCUCAACACGUGCAAUCUCAUCUUUGAUUUCAUCAUAUAAGGAUUGAGGUAUUGCACUAUCACUAGCACCCACGUCACAUAAACCAUGAUAACAAUGAUCUCCUAUCUUAACAGAAACCACAGGCAUGCCAACAACAGGCCUAUGUUUGUCUCUAACGUGAGGUUUAGCAAUUCUAGCAGCAUCUUCACAUAAGUGAAUAUUAUGUCCCUCAACUUCUUUAGACAGAAGAUCUUUGAUAAUAGCAAUGCUAGGUUCAACUCUAAUUUUCUCAGGGGGUGUAAGUGUUCUAAUGUAGCCUCUACGUAUGACAGUUGAAGCUUUAGAAUGAUCCUUUAUCCUGACAGGGAAAGGUGGUUUCUCAAUGUAAGCCCUGGGAACCACAGGAUCAUUAUAGGCAAUGACUUUCUCUUCAACUAGAGUGGGUUUAACUACAUUGACUUCUAAUGGAGGAUGAUAUUUAAACCACUUCUCUUUGGGGAGAUCAAUAUGGGCAGCAAAGGAUUCACACAAUGAAGCUACUAUCUCAGAGUCAAGUCCAUACUUAGCACCAGUCACAAAAAGUAUUUGUGUCAACAAAGGAUUUAACGCAAUCAAACGUGAAAUUCAUACCUGACUCCUCACCUUCUUCAAGUUCCCAAUCUUCAGAGUUGCGUUUAAUUUUCUCCAAUAAAUUCCAUUUGAAGUCAAUAUCUAUCUUCAUAAAAGAACCGGUACAAGAAGUGUCAAGCAUGGUGCGAUCAUCAUGAGAAAGCCGAGCAAAGAAGUUCUGAAUGAUAAUUUCUCUCGAGAGCUCAUGAUUGGGGCAUGAAUAUAGCAUUGAUUUAAGCCUCCCCCAAGCUUGAGCAAUGCUUUCUCUGUCACGAGGCCAAAAGUUGUAAAUAUAAUUCCGAUCACGAUGUACUAAAUGCAUAGGAUAAAACUUUUGAUGAAAUUCCAAUUUCAACCGAUUGUAGUCCCAUGAUCUAGUAUCAUCACAUAGCCUAUACCAUGUCAAUGCCUUAUCCUUCAAAGAUAAAGGAAAUACCUUCUUCUUGACCUCAUCCUCGGGCACACCAGCAAGCUUAAAUAAACCACAAACCUCAUCUACAUAGAUUAGAUGCAAGUCUGGAUGUGAUGUUCCAUCUCCUGUAAAAGGAUUAGCCAGCAGUUUCUCAAGCAUACCCGAAGGAAAUUCAAAGAAAAUAUUUUUAUUAGGUGCAGCAGGUUGAGGAGCAACUCAUUGUGCUUCUGUUCGAGGUGAAGAUACCCCAAACAAGCCCCUCAAAGGAUUAGUAUCCAUAGUGACAAGUGACAAUAAAUUUCAGCACACUAUAUGAAUGUUUCCUUACCAAGUUCCACUUACCAAAGGUGCUUCACUCCCCGGCAACGGCACCAGAAAAGAGUCUUGAUGAUCCACAAGUAUAGGGGAUCAAUCGUAGUCCUUUCGAUAAGUAAGCGUGUCGAACCCAACGAGGAGCAGAAGGAUCUGACAAGUGGUUAUCAGCAAGGAAAUAUCUGCAAGCACUGAAACAGUCGGUAACAAGUGAUUGUGUGGUGAGAUGAUUCGUAGCAAGCAACAAGUAACAGAAGUAGUAACGGUGCAGCAAAGUGGCCCAAUCCCUUUUUUAGAAAGGGACAAGCCUGGACAAAGUCUUAUAGGAGGAAAAACGCUCCCGAGGACACACGGGAAUUUCUGUCAUGUUAGUUUCAUCAUGUUCAUAUGAUUCGCGUUCGUUACUAUGAUAGUUUGAUAUGUGGGUGGACCGGCGCUUGGGUACUGCCGUUACUUGGACAAUCAUCCCACUUAUGAUUAACCCCUCUCGCAAGCAUCCACAACUACGAAAGAAGANNNNNNNNNNNNNNNNNNNNNNNNNNNNNNNNNNNNNNNNNNNNNNNNNNNNNNNNNNNNNNNNNNNNNNNNNNNNNNNNNNNNNNNNNNNNNNNNNNNNNNNNNNNNNNNNNNNNNNNNNNNNNNNNNNNNNNNNNNNNNNNNNNNNNNNNNNNNNNNNNNNNNNNNNNNNNNNNNNNNNNNNNNNNNNNNNNNNNNNNNNNNNNNNNNNNNNNNNNNNNNNNNNNNNNGCUUCUGUCACUCUAGAAACCCAUCAUCUACUUACUACUUCCCAAUGCCUUCCUCUAGGCCCAAAUAAUGGUAAAGUGUUAUGUAGUCGACGUUCACAUAACACCACUAGAGGAAAAACAACAUACAACAUAUCAAAUUACCGAACCAAUACCAAAUUCACAGGACUACUAUUAGCAUGACUUAUGCCAUGUCCUCAGGAACAAAAGUAACUACUCACAAAGCAUAAUCAUAUUCAUGACCAGAAGGUAAUGAGUAGCAUCAAUGAUCUGAACAUAAACUCUUCCACCAAACAAUCCAACUAGCAUCAACUACAAAGAGUAAUCAACACUACUAGCAACCUUACAAGUACCAAUCGGAGUCGCGAGACGGAGAUUGGUUACAAGAGAUAGGGUUUGGAGAUGAGAUGGUGCUAAUGAAGAUGUUGAUGGUGACGAGUCCCCUCCGAUGAGAGGAGUGUUUGAUGACGAUAGCGACAAUUUCCCCCUCCGGGAGGGAAGUUUCCCCGGCCGGAUCGUCCUGCCGGAGCUCUAGAUUGGUUCUGCUCAAGUUCCGCCUCGUGGCGGCGGCGAAACCACGAAAAAGCUCCUCCCUGAUUUUUUCCUGGACGAACCCCUCCAUAUAGCAAAAGAGGGGAGCAAGUGGGCCAGUGGGCUGCCCACAAGCCCUCAUGGCGCGGCCUGAGGGGGUGGCCGCGCCGUGUAGGCUUGUGGGCACCCCAUGGUGCCCCUCCGGCACUUCUUCGGCCCAGUAUUUUUGAUAAAUCGGGAAAAUAAUCCUCGUUGAUUUUUACGGCGUUUGGAGUUGCAUAGAAUAGGUAUCUCAACUUUGCUCCACUUUCAGGCCAGAAUUCCAGUUGCCGGCAUUCCCCCUCUUCAUGUAAACCUUGCCAAAUAAGAGAGAAAAGGCAUAAGAAUUGUACCGUGAAGUGAAAUAACAGCCCAAGAAGCGAUAAAUAUCAACAUGAAAACAUGAUGCAAAAUGGAUGUAUCAGUUCACCAUACGUGCAUGCUACGGGAAUCACUAACUUCAACACAAGUAUUUCUAGAUUCACAACACCCUACUAACAUAACUCUUAGGAUUACCAAAUCCACGUCUCAAAACUAACUGAGAGGAAACAAAACUUCUCUUUCUACUUAAUGCACAUGAAGAUGGAGAUUUUUGUAUCCUCUUUGGGUACCUAUCACCUUUGGGACUACUUUCAAAGCAUAAGCCAACUACAAAGUCACGCACCGCCGUGCUCUAAAAGAUCUAAGUGAAGCACAUAGAGCAAAAUUAUCUAGCUCAAAAGAUAUAAGUGAAGCACAAUGAGCAUUCUAGCAAAAUUACGAUGAGUGUAUGUAUCUCUCUAAAGGUGUGCAGCGAGGAUGAUUGUGACACAACAAAAAGAAAAGACUCCUAAGAUACAAGACGCUCCAAGAAAAACACAUAUCAUGUGGUGAAUAAAAAUAUAGCUCCAAGUAAUGUUACCGAUGGAUUGAAGACGAAAGAGGGGAUGCCUUCCCGGGGCAUCCCCAAGCUUAGGCUUUUUGGUGUCCUUGAAUUUGGUUUGGGAUGCCUUGGGCAUCCCCAAGCUUGAGCUCUUUCCACUCCUUAUCUCUUUGUCCAUGAGAACAUCACCCAAAACAUGAAAACUUCACAACACAAAACUUAAACAGAAACUCGUGAUAUCAUUAGCACAAGAAAACAAACUACCCCCUCUUAGGUACUGUAGCAAUCUUGAUUUCUAUUUAUAUUGGUGUUGGGUUACUAUAUUCUCACUUUUCCAUGGCUAGUACCACCCGAUACUAUCCAUAGUUUCAUCAAAACAAGCAACCAACUCAACAAAAACAGAAUGUGUCAAAAACAGACCAGUCUGUAGCAAUCUGUAUACUUCGUAUACUUCUGGUACCUCAAAAAUUCUGAAAAAUUACGACUGCGUGGGCAAAAGGCAUAUAAACCAGAAGCAAAAAGAAUCAACUCAAAAUCUCUUUCUGAAUAAAAACGAAAAAUCAUCUCGUGAGAGAAAAGUUUCUGUCUUUUUCCAGCAGGAUCAAACAACCAUCACCAAGACUAGUCAUAAAGGUUUUCUUGGCUCAAACACAAAAAGAAACACAAAAUACACUAUCAUAACAAAAUUAUGAUGGUGUGGACGCAACAAAACAGAAAGAAUAGGAUAAAUUCAUUGGGUUGCCUCCCAACAAGCGCUAUUGUUUAACGCCCUUAGCUAGGCAUUGAUAAUUCAAUGAUGCUCACACAAAAGACAAGAAUUGAAGCACAACGAGAGCAUCAAAAAGCAUGUGAAAAUCACAUCUAAGUCUAACAUACUUCCUAUGCAUAGGCAUUUUAUAUGAAAACAAAUUGGCAAGACAACAAAUAGUUACCAAAUGCAAGGAAGAAGAAAGAGACAAUAGCAAUCUCGACAUAACGAGAGGUAAUUUGGUAACAUGAAUGUUUCUACCACAAUAUUUUCCUCUCUCAUAGCAAUUACAUGUGGGAUCAUAUUCGAAUUCAACAAUGUAACUAUCACAUAGGAUAUUCUUUUCAUGAUCCACAUGCAUGCAAAGUUGACGCUCUCCAAAAAUAGUGGGAUUAUCAUCAACUAAAGUCAUGACUUCUCCAAACCCACUUUCAAUAAUAUUGCAAAUAUCAUAUUUAUCAUGAGGCUUAAACAAAUUUUCAAGAUCAUAAGAAAAAUCAUCACCCCAAUCAUUAUCAUUGCAACCAGUAGUGGACAUAGCAAAACUAGCAUCCCCAAGCUUAGGGUUUUUCAUAUUUUUAGCAUGAUUGUAACUAAUAGAAUUUGUAGUGAAACCAUUGCAAUCAUGCUUUUCAUCCAAGGAGCGCUCGUGAAUCACUUCGUAAAUUUCUUCCUCAAAAUUUUCAGAUUCACGCAUCUCAAGCAAAACUUCAUAAAGAUAAUCUAGUAAGCAAAACUCACUAGCAAUUGGUUCACCAUAGUUGGACCUCUUGAAAAGAUUAGCAAGUGGAUGAGGAUCCAUAUCACUAGAUUCUUAGCAAGCGAAGAUGCAAGCAUUUUGAAGGCACAUGGUAACACAAGCAACCAUAGCAACAAAAAGGCGAACGGAAAAGGAAAACGAAAAAGGCAAAUUGGUGAAGUGGGGGAGACGAAAACGAGAGGCAACUCGCAAACAAAGUAAAUGCAAGAGAUGAGUUUGCAACACUUACUUGGAUGAGUUCUUGACUUGAUCCUCCCCGGCAACGGCGCCAGAAAUCCUUCUGCUACUUCUCAAACAACAGCGCCAAAAUUUGACACGUUGACGGAGACUUGCUUGCUUCGGUUUUUCCCUUGAAGAGGAAAGGGUGAUGCAGCACAGGAGCAGUAAGUAUUUCCCUCAUUUUGAGAACCAAGGUAUCGAACCAAAAGGAGGGCCUCGUUAAGUCCAAAGUACCUGCGCAAAAACAAACAAGCUUGCACCCAACGCUUCAAAGGGGUUGUCAAUCCCUUCAAGAUUGUUUGCAAAAGUGAGAUCUGAAGGCGGAAAUUGCAACAAAGUGAAAAGUGUAAGGCUGAAAAUAUGGUCUGGAGUAGACCCUAGGGGCCAUAGUGUUCACUAGAGGCUUCUCUCAAAAUAGCAAAUAUCACGGUGGGUGAACAAAUUACUGUCGAGCAAUUGAUAGAACCACGCAAAGUCAUGACGAUAUCUAAGGCAAUGAUCUACCAUAUAGGCAUCACGUCCGAGACAAGUAGACCGAUACUUUCUGCAUCUACUACUAUUACUCCACACAUCGACCGCUAUCCAGCAUGCAUCUAGUGUAUUGAGUUCAUGACGAACAGAGUAACGCUUUAAUCAAGAUGACAUGAUGUAGAGAGAUAAUCUCAAACCAAUGAUGAAAACCCCAUCUUUUUACCCUUGAUGGCAACAACACGAUACGUGCCUUGCUACCCCUUCUGUCACUGGGUGAGGUCACCGCACGGUAUGAACCCAAAACCAAGCACUUCUCCCAUUGCAAGAAUCAUAGAUCUAGUUGGCCAAACAAAACCCACAACUCGAAGAGAAUUACAAGGAUAUGAAAUCAUGCAUAAGAGAGAUCAGAAGAAACUCAAAUAAGAUUCAUAGAUAAUCUGAUCAUAAAUCCACAAUUCACCGGAUCUCGACAAACACACCGCAAAAGAAGAUUACAUCGNNNNNNNNNNNNNNNNNNNNNNNNNNNNNNNNNNNNNNNNNNNNNNNNNNNNNNNNNNNNNNNNNNNNNNNNNNNNNNNNNNNNNNNNNNNNNNNNNNNNNNNNNNNNNNNNNNNNNNNNNNNNNNNNNNNNNNNNNNNNNNNNNNNNNNNNNNNNNNNNNNNNNNNNNNNNNNNNNNNNNNNNNNNNNNNNNAGAAGAAGCCAUCUAGUUACUAGCUAUGGACCCAUAGGUCUAUGGUGAACUACUCACACAUCAUCGGAGAGAUCAUGGUGUUGAUGGAGAAACCUUUCGUGUCCGAAUCCCCCCUCCGGUAGGGCACCAGGACGUGCCCCAGAUGGGAUCUUGCGGAGACAGAAGCUUGCGGCGGCGGAAAAGUGAUUACGAUGCUCCCCUGAUUUUUUGGGAAUAUUUGGGAAUUUAUAGGCGCAAGAUCUAGGUCAGGGGACCUCCAGGGGGCCCACAAGCCUGCAUGGCGCCCCCCUAUCCGCGGGGUGGGGGCUUGUGGAGCCCCUGGGGCUCUUCUGGCUUGGCCCCCAAGCUCUCCGAUCUUCCGUUCUAGAAAAAAUCUUUUCUCGGAUUUUCUUCCGUUUGGACUCCGUUUCAAAAUCUCCUCUGAAAGGGGUCAAAAACAUGGAAAAACAGGAACUGGCACUUGGCACUGAGUUAAUAAGUUAGUCCCAGAAAAUAAAUAAAAGGCAUGCAAAACAUCCAAAUUUGACAAGAUAAUAGCAUGAAACCAUCAAAAAUUAUAGAUACGUUGGAGACGUAUCAAUCGUCCUGCCGGAGCUCUAGAUUGGUUCUGCUCAAGUUCCGCCUCGUGGCGGCGGCGGCUCCUCCCGAAAGCUUCCAUCUGAUUUUUUUCUCGAACGAAACCCUUCAUAUAGCAAAAGAUGAGCGCCGGAGGGGAAAUAGGGGGCCCACAAGCCACCCAGGCCCGGCCAGGGGGUAGGCUGGGCCUGGCAGGCUUGUGGCCUCCUGGUGGCGCCCCUCUGGUACUUCUUCCGUAAAGUAUUUUUCAUCAAAUCCAAAAUAAUUCCCCGUUGAUUUUCAUGGCUUUUGGAGUUGCGUAGAAUAGAUAUCUCAAACUUGCUCCUUUUUCAGGCCAGAAUUCCAGCUGCCGGCAUUCUCCCUCUUCAUGUAAACUUUCCAAAAUAAGAGAGAAAGGCAUAAGUAUUGCACCGUGAACUGAAAUAACAGCCCAAAAAGCGAUAAAUGUCAACAUGAAAACAUGACGCAAAAUGGACGUAUCAACUCCCCCAAGCUUAGACCUCGCUUGUCCUCAAGCGAAAGCCUAGAUCAAUAAACAUGACCACAUGUUUAGGGAGAGAGGUGUCGACAAAACAAGAUACAAACAUGCAGGCAUCAUGAUCAUGAUCAGAACAGCAAAACCAACAUAUAAACUCUCAUGCUAAAGUGGCAAUUCCUUCACAAAGUAAGGUAUGGAUCAAGAACCUUACCGAGAAGUAACAACCGAUAGCCUUUAGUCAUUGAAGAAAUCGCAGUUUAUCACAACAUCAGAAAGAGUCAAAUAAGAGCUUGUAAAGAAAAUCCACAUACUCAAUCAUCCUUUCGUUCUCUACAAUUGCUACAACUCAUGUGGUACUCAUGAGAUCAAAGUUUCAGCUGGACACAGAGAAAGAUAGGGGCUUAUAGUUUUGCCUCCCGACUAUUUACCUCAAGGGUAAUGUCAACAAUAAUAAUUCAUGAACACUUACUUCCAAGUUGACAUAUGAAUAUAGAUCUUUCCCUAGCAUAUGACGUUAGCCAAGAUAAAGGCGAAAUAAAGAAUUGGUGAAGAUCACCAUGACUCUUUCAAGGACAAAAAGUAAAGGUACACGAAAGGCCCUUCGUAGAGGGAAGCAGAGGUUGUCAUGCGCUUUUGAGGUUUGGAUGUGUGUCCUCUUAGUGCAGAGGAACGUCACUUUAUAUUGCAUCCUGUGAUAAAGAACUUUAUUAUGCAGUCUGUCGCUUUUAUGUCUUCCUCAUCACAGGUUCCUACAAAGUUUAUUUUCCACACACUAAUAGAUCAUACAUAUUAGGGAGCAAUUUUUAUUGCUUGCACCGAUGAAAACUUACUUGAGGGAUCUUAUUCAAUCCAUAGGUAGGUAUGGUGGACUCUUAUGGCAAAACUGGGUUGAAGGUUUAUGGAUGCACAAGUAGUAUCUCUACUUAGUGCGGGAGUUUUGGCUAAUAUGAGGUGGAAGCAAUCGACACAUGCUAAGGGAUCUCUAAUCAUAUAACAUUGUUCGGAACCAAGCAAACACAAUUCAUUAUGUUGUCUUCCUUGUCCAACAUCUACUUUUAAGCAUGUAAUAGGGUAGUGAGUGUUCACAAUCAUGGAUGGUGUCAAAGAUGAUAUAUUUAUAUGUGAACCUCUCCUUCUUUAUUACUUCCUGUUAAUUGCAACAAUGACCGAGGUCUACGUUUGUCUACCCUCAACAAGUUUCAAUCAUCAUUCUUUUUAUGUGUGAAGCCAUCACUUCCCAUAAGAUCAUUACAUGAUCUUUCAUGAUUUUGUUCUUUUCUCACUCUUUUGAUCAUGGCAUGAGGCAAAGCCCUUCAACUAGAACACUCUUUAUUAUAUGGAUCACGAGCUCGAAUACAUCGGGGGUGACACAAAGCAAAACUCAAGCCUAAAACACUAAGACUUUUAUUCCACUAGAGAAAGAGAAAACUGAAAAGGAACAAACAAAAACAAAGGUAAAGACAAAAUAUGUGAUGGUGAUACGAUACCGGGGCAACUCCCCCAAGCUUGGCACAAGCCAAGGGGAUUGCCCAUACCCAUGCUCAGUUGUCUUCCUUUGGAGAUGAUGGUGGUGGAGUUGUUGCAAUCUUUGAUUCCAAGAGAGCCAUCAAUCUUUGAUUUAUACCUUGGAGAUAUGUGAUAUGUUUCUCAAGCAAAACUACUUCAUGAGUGAGAUAAGUAUUACGAGCACGAGUUGUUUCACAAAACCUCAAGAGUUCAAUCAAGGAUGGAGACAAUAGGUGGAGGUAGGGUUGGAGGAAAUCUACUUCUUCAACUUCUUCCUUGUUGAACACAGAUUGUGCUUCGUCCAACGCAUGAUUCUUCUCCUUAGUUUUGCCCUUGGUUUCUUUAGGUAGCCUUUCAUUGGCCUCCAUUCUUUUUAGAUCAGUAUUUACUUCUCCAUAGACUUGACGGAGAUUGUUCUCCCCCACAGAUUCUUGGGACGACAUCUUGCUCUAAAUCUGUGGCAGAAAACAGGCUCGAAACGAAAACAGAGGAAAUCUGCGUGAUACGAGGAUCAUACCUUUUGGGAGAAUUAUUAAUGAUUUUUUCCAGACCAAAAGGAGUACUCCACAUGAAAACGGAGCCCGGGAGGCACACGAGGUGCCCACAAGCCACCCAGGCCCGGCCAGGUGGUAGUCCGGGCCUAGCAGGCUUGUCGCCUCCUCGUGCACUUACCUUCUAAUUUAAAUUUUUCUAUUUUUUUCAAAAAUUCCAAAACGGGGGAAAAUUGCUACGGGAAAAGUUUUGGAGUCGGUUUACUUACCGAAUCACAUACCUCUUCGUUUUUGGAGUAUGAAACAGGCUGAUAAAUAUCCCUUAUGUACUCCUCCGGAGUUAUGGCAUUGAUAAUAUUGCUUUCAACAUUUAUGGGAGUACCUAAGAUAUCAUGCUUGAUUCUCUGCCCAUUUACCACUCUCGGACAAUUACCUUCCGUGUUGUUGAUCUUGAUAGCACCGGAACGAUAUACUUCCUCAAAAAUAUAGGGACCUUCCCAUUUAGAGAGAAGCUUGCCUACAAAGAAUCUUAAACGAGAAUUAUAUAGCAAGACAUAAUCACCUACAUUGAAAUCAUGCUUUUGUAUCCUCUUCUCAUGCCACCUCUUAACCUUUUCUUUGAACAACUUGGCAUUCUCAUACGCCUGAGUUCUCCAUUCAUCAAGCGAGCUAAUAUCAAGUAACCUCUUCUCACCAGCAAGUUUGAAAUCAAAGUUGAGCUCUUUGAUUGCCCAAUAAGCUUUAUGCUCUAGCUCAAGAGGUAAAUGACAUGCUUUACCGUACACCAUUUUGUAUGGGGACAUGCCCAUGGUAUUCUUAUAGGCAGUUCUAUAAGCACACAUUGCAUCAUCGAGCUUCUUAGACCAAUUCUUUCUAGACCUGUUGACAGUCUUUUGCAGAAGUAGUUUAAUCUCUCUAUUGCUUAGCUCUACUUGACCACUUGACUGAGGGUGAUAGGGAGACGCAAUUCUAUGGUUGACAUCGUACUUAGCAAGCGUUUUACGGAAAGCACCAUGAAUGAAAUGUGAACCACCGUCGGUCAUUAGAUAUCUAGGGACUCCAAAUCUAGGGAAAAUAACUUCUUUAAGCAUCCUGAUAGAGGUGUUGUGAUCAGCACUACUAGUGGGGAUAGCUUCUACCCACUUAGUGACAUAAUCAACAGCAACUAGGAUAUGAGUAUACCCGUUGGAUUUUGGAAAAGGUCCCAUAUAAUCAAAUCCCUAGACAUCAAAUGGUUCAAUGACAACUCAAUAGUUCAUAGGCAUUUCCGGAUGUUUACUAAUAUUACCUAUUCGUUGACAUUCGUCACAAGACAAGACAAACUUACGGGCAUCCUUGAAGAGAGUGGGCCAAUAGAAACCUCAUUGCAAUACCUUGUGUGCAGUUCUAUCUCCCGCAUGGUGUCCUCCGUAGGCCUCGGAGUGACACUUCUAUAGGAUCUGUCCCUAUUCAUGUUCAGGUACACAACGUCUAAUAACACCAUCUACUCCUUCCUUAUAAAGGUGAGGACCAUCCCAAAAGUAAUGUCUCAAGUCAAAGAAGAAUUUCUUCUUUUGCUGGUAUGUGAAACUAGGUGGUAUAUAUUUGGCAACAAUAUAGUUUGCAUAAUCAGCAUACCAUGGUGCACUACGUGAAGUAUUGAUUACAUUCAAUUGCUCAUCGGGAAAGCUAUCAUCAAUGGGUUGUGGGUCAUCAAGAACGUUCUCCAACCUAGACAAGUUAUCUACUACGGGGUUAUCAGCACCCUUCCUGUCGACAACGUGCAAAUCAAAUUCUCGUAGCAAGAGAACCCAUUUGAUAAGUCUAGGUUUAGCGUCUUUCUUCUCCAUGAGGUACUUAAUAGCAGCAUGAUUACUGUGAAUAGCGACUUUGGAAUCAACUAUGUAAAACCUGAACUUUUCACAUGCAAACACGACUGCUAAAAAUUCCUUUUCCCGUAGUAGCAUAGUUUCUUUGGGCACUGUCUAGAGUUUUAGUAGCAUAGUGAAUAACAUUCAUCUUCUUAUCAACUAUUUGCCCUAGGACAGCACCAACAGCAUAAUCACUAGCAUCACACAUGAUUUCAAAAGGUAAGUUCCAAUUAGGUGGUUGAACAAUAGGUGCAGUUAUCAAAGCCUUUUUAAGUAUUUCGAAGUCUUCCUCACAAUCGUCGUCAAAAACAAAAGGAAUAUCCUUUUGCAAGAGAUCGGUAAGAGGCCUAGAAAUCUUAGAGACGUCUUUAACGAACCUUCUAUAGAAACCAGCAUGACCAAGGAAACUUCUUAUACCUUUGAUAUCUGUGGGGUAUGGCAUUUUCUCGAUUGCACCAACCUUAGCCUUAUCGACUUCAAUACCUCUUUCAGAAAUUUUAUGUCCUAAAACGAUGCCUUCAUUAACCAUAAAGUGGCACUUUUCCCAAUUCAAGACAAGAUUGGUGUCUUUACAUCUCUGCAAGACCCGAUCAAGGUUGUUGAGGCAAUCAUCAAAAGAAGACCCGAAAACGGAGAAGUCAUCCUUGAAAACCUCGACAAUCUGUUCACAAAAGUAAGAGAAUAUAGCCAUCAUACAUGUUUGAAAGGUGGCAGGUGCAUUACAUAAGCCAAAAGGCAUACGUCUAUAAGCAAAGGUACCGAAAGGGCACGUGAAAGUGGUUUUCUCCUGAUCAGCUUGUGCGACUGGUAUCUGGGUGAAACCAGAAUAAUCGUGUAGAACCAGAAGUGUGUGUGUUUAGAGGCAAUAAUAAUAUGGUUAUUAUCAUAUUUCCUUGUUCACUAUAAUCGUCUAUUGUUCAUGCUAUAAUUGUAUUAACAGGAAACAGUAAUACAUGUGUGAAUAAAUAGAUCACAAUGUGUCCCUAGAAAGCCUCUAGUUGGCUAGCUCUUUAGUCAAUAGAUGAUCAUGGUUUCCUGAUCAUGGGCAUUAGAUGUCAUUGAUAACGGGAUCACAUCAUUGGGAGAAUGAUGUGAUGGACAAGACCCAAUCCUAAGCCUAGCACUAGAUCGUAUUGUUCGUAUGCUAAUGCUUUUCUAAUGUCAAGUAUCUUUUCCUUCGACCGUGAGAUUGUGCAACUCCCGGAUACCGUAGGAGUGCUUUGGGUGUAUCAAACGUCACAACGUAACUGGGUGACUAUAAAGGUGCACUACGGGUACCUCCGAAAGUGUCUGUUGGGUUGGUACGAAUCGAGAUCGGGAUUUGUCACUCCGUGUGACGGAGAGGUAUCUCUGGGCCCACUCGGUAGAACAUCAUCAUGAGCUCAAUGUGACUAAGGAGUUAGUCACACGAUGACGUGCUACGGAACGAGUAAAGAGACUUACCGGUAACAAGAUUGAACAAGGUAUAGGUAUACCGAUGAUCGAAUCUCGGGCAAGUUCUAUACCGACAAACAAAGAGAAUCGUAUACGGGAUUGAUUGAAUCCUUGACAUCAUGGUUCAUCCGAUGAGAUCAUCGUGGAGCAAGUGGGAGCCACCAUGGGUAUCCAUACCCCGCUGAUGGUUAUUGGCCAGAGAGGUGUCUCGGUCAUGUCUGCCUGUCUCCCGAACCCGUAGGGUCUACACACUUAAGGUUCGAUGACGCUAGGGUUAUAGAGAAUUAUUAUACGAGGUUACCGAAAGUUGUUCAGAGUCCCAGAUGAGAUCUCGGACGUCACGAGGAGCUCCGGAAUGGUCCGGAGGUAAAGAUUGAUAUAUAGGACGGAUGGUUUCGGAUACCGGAAGUGUUUCGGGCAUCACCGGUAACGUACCGGGACCACCGGGACCACCGGAGGUAGCCCCGGGGGACCACCGAAGGGGGCAACGACCCCGGGAGGUAAGGUGGGCCAAGUGGGGGUGGUAACCAGCUCCUAGGUGGCCUGGUGCACCUCCCCACUCAGCCCGUUGCGCAAGGGAGAGAAAAGGGGGGGCAAACCCUAAGCCAGGUGCCAGUUGGUGCGCCACCCCCUCCUCCCCCCUCUGGCCGCCGCACCUCCCAUCUGGGGGGGCUGCCGCACCCCCUAGGGUGGGAACCCUAGGGGUGGCACCCCCUCUCCCCUCCCCCUAUAUAUAGUGGGCACUUUUGGCCAUUGGAGAUCAGACUUUUCCCUCUCCCUCGGCUCAGCCCUGCUCUUCUUUCUCCUCCUCUCUGCCGGUGCUUGGCGAAGCCCUGCCGGGAGACCUCGUCUCUCCAUCGACACCACGCCGUCGUGCUGCUGGAGUUCUUCCCCAACCUCUCCCUCCUCCUUGCUGGAUCAAGGUGCGGGAGACGUCACCGGGCUGCACGUGUGUUGAACGCGGAGGUGCCGUAGUUCGGCACUAGAUCGAAAUCGCUGCGAGUACGACUCCAUCAACUGCGUUCUAGCAACGCUUCCGCUUAGCGAUCUUCAAAGGUAUGAAGAUGCUCUUACCCCUCUCUUGUUGCUGGUCUCUCCAUAGGAAUAUCUGAAUAUGCGUAGGAAAAUUUUGAAUUUAUGCUACGUAACCCAACAGUGGCAUCCGAGCCAGGUUUUCUAUGCGUAGAUUCUAUGCACGAGUAGAACACAAAAGUUGUGGGCGAUGAUUUGUCAAUUUGCUUGCCUCUACUAGUCUUGUUCUUUUCCGGCGGCAUUGUGGGAUGAAGCGGCCCGGACCGACUUUACACGUACGCUUACGUGAGACUGGUUCCACCGACAGACAUGCACACCGUGCAUAAAGGUGGCUAGCGGGUGUCUGUCUCUCCUACUCUAGUCGGAUUGGAUUUGAUGAAAAGGGUCCUUAUGAAGGGUAAAUAGCUUUGGCAUAUCAUCGUUGUGGCUGUCACGUAGGCAAGAAGGCGUUCUUGCUAGAAACCCAAAUCAGCCACGUAAAACUUGCAACAACAAUUAGAGGACGUCUAACUUGUUUUUGCAGGGUUUGACAUGUGAUGUGAUAUGGCCAAAGUUGUGAUGUUGCAUGUAUGAUGUAUGAGAUGAUCAUGUUAUUGUAAUAGGUUUCACGACUUGCAUGUCGAUGAGUAUGACAACCGGCAGGAGCCAUAGGAUUUGUCUUAAUUUAUUGUAUGAGAUGCAACGCCAUGUGCUUACUACUUUUACUUCAUUGCUAACGGUUAGCUAUAGUAGUAGUGAUAGUAGUAGUUGGCGUGACGACUUCACGGAGACACGAUGAUGGAUAUCAUGAUGAUGGAGAUCAUGGUGUCACGCCGGUGACGAUGAUGAUCAUGCGAUGCCUGAAGAUGGAGAUCGAAAGAGCAAAGAUGAUAAUGGCCAUAUCAUGUCACUAUAUGAUUGCAUUGUGAUGUUUAUCAUGUUUUACAUCUUAUUGCUUAGAACGACGGCAGCAUAAUAAGAUGAUCCCUCUUAAAAUUUCGAGAACGUAUUCCCCUAAGUGUGCACCAUUGCGAAGGUUCGUUGUUUCGAAGCACCACGUGAUGAUCGGGUGUGAUAGAUUCUAACGUUCGCAUACAACGGGUGUAAGCCAGAUUUAGACACGCGAAACACCUAGGUUGACUCGACGAGCUUAGCAUGUACAGACAUGACCUCGAAUACAAGAGACCGAAAGGUCGAACAUGAGUCGUAUGGUUGAAUACGAUCAACAUGGAGUUGCUCACCAUGGUGACUAGUCCGUCUCACGUGAUGACCGGACACAGGUUAGUCAACAUGGAUCAUGUAUCACUUAGAUGACUAGAGGGAUGUCGAUUUAAGUGGGAGUUCAUACUUAAUUUGAUUAAAUGAACUUAAUUGUCAUGAACUUAGUCUAAAAGUUGUCUUUAUAAAUAUUGUAGAUGUCCAACGUCAACCUCAAUUUCAACGCAUUCCUAGAGAAAAACAAGCUGAAAGAUGAUGGUAGCAACUAUGCGGACUGGGUUCGCAACUUGAAGCUCAUCCUUGAAGCAGCUAAAAAGGCUUAUGUCCUUGAUGCGCCGCUAGGUGACCCUCCCGCUCCCGCAGCAGCCCAGGACAUUCUGAACGUCUGGCAAACGCGGAGUGAUGACUACUCUCUGGUUAGGUGUGGCAUGUUAUACAGUUUAGAAACGGGGCUCCAAAGGCGUUUUCAGAAACACGGGGCAUAUGAGAUGUUCCAGGAGUUGAAGCUAGUUUUCCAAGCUCAUGCCCGUGUCGAGAGAUAUGAAGUCUCCGACAAGUUCUUUAGCUGUAAGAUGGAGGAGAACAGUUCUGUCAGUGAGCACAUACUCAAAAUGUCUGGGUUACACGGUCGUCUGACUUCACUUGGAGUCGAACUUCCGGAUGAUGCUAUAAUUGAUAGAAUCCUCCAGUCUCUCCCACCAAGCUACAAAGGCUUUCUGCUUAACUACAACAUGCAAGGGAUGGAGAAGACCAUUCCCGAGUUGUACUCGAUGCUCAAGUCUGCAGAAGUAGAAAUCAAGAAAGAGCAUCAAGUGUUGAUGGUCAACAAGACCACUAGUUUCAAGAAAGGAAAGGGUAAGAAGAACUUCAAGAAAGACGGCAAAACUGUUGCCGCGCCCGGUAAGCCAGAUGCCGGGAAGAAGAAAAAGAACGGACCCAAGCCUGAGACUGAGUGCUUCUAUUGCAAGGGAAAGGGUCACUGGAAGCGGAACUGCCCCAAAUACUUAGCGGACAAGAAGGCCGGCAACGUUAAAGGUAUAUGUGAUAUACCUGUUAUUGAUGUGUACCUUACCAGCGCUCGUACUAGCUCCUGGGUAUUUGAUACCGGUGUUGUUGCUCACAUUUGCAACUCAAAGCAGGAACUGAGGAAUAAGCGGAGACUGGCCAAGGACGAGGUGACGAUGCGCGUCGGGAAUGGUUCAAAGGUCGAUGUGAUCGCCGUCGGCACGCUACCUCUACAUCUACCAUCGGGAUUAGUUUUAAACCUUAAUAAUUGUUAUUUAGUACCAGCUUUAAGCAUGAACAUUGUAUCAGGGCUUUGCUUAAUGCGAGACGACUACUCAUUUAAGUCAGAGAAUAAUGGUUGUUCUAUUUAUAUGAGUGGUAUGUUUUAUGGUCAUACUCCGCUGGUGAAUGGUUUAUUCUUGAUGAAUCUCGAUCGUGAUGUUACACAUAUUCAUAGUGUGAUUACCAAAAGAUGUAAAGUUGAUAAUGAUAGUCCCACAUACUUGUGGCACUGCCGCCUUGGUCACAUCGGCGUUAAGCGCAUGAAGAAGCUCCAUACUGAUGGACUAUUAGAGUCUCUUGAUUUUGAAUCAUUUGACACAUGCGAACCGUGCCUCAUGGGCAAGAUGACUAAGACUCCAUUCUCAGGAAUAAUGGAGAGAGCAACCGACUUAUUGGAAAUAAUACAUACUAAUGUGUGUGUUCCAAUGAACGUUGAAGCUCGCGGUGGUUAUCGUUAUGUUCUCACUCUCACCGAUGAUUUGAGUAGGUAUGGGUAUAUCUACUUGAUGAAGCACAAAUCUGAGAUGUUUGAAAAGUUCAAGGAAUUUCAGAGUGAGGUUGAGAAUCAACGUGACAGAAAAAUUAAAUGUCUACGAUCUGAUCGUGGAGGAGAAUAUUUGAGUCACGAGUUUGGCACACACCUAAGGAAGUGUGGAAUCGUUUCACAACUGACGCCGCCUAGCACACCACAACACAACGGAGUGUCUGAACGUCGUAAUCGCACUUUAUUAGAUAUGGUACGAUCUAUGAUGUCUCUUACCGACUUACCGCUAUCAUUUUGGGGAUACGCAUUAGAAACUGCAGCAUUCACUUUAAAUAGGGCACCGUCUAAAUCCGUUGAGACGACACCGUAUGAACUAUGGUUUGGCAAGAAACCUAAGUUGUCGUUUCUUAAAGUUUGGGGCUGCGAUGCUUAUGUGAAGAAACUUCAACCAGAAAAGCUCGAACCCAAAGCGGAGAAAUGCGUAUUCAUAGGAUACCCUAAGGAAACUAUUGGGAAUACCUUCUAUCUUAGAUCCGAAGGUAAAACCUUUGUUGCCAAGAACGGAUCCUUUCUAGAGAAAGAGUUUCUCUCGAAAGAAGUAAGUGGGAGGAAGGUAGAACUUGAUGAGGUAAUUACACCCCCUCUCGAACAGGAUAGUAGCACAGUGCGGGAAGUUGUUCCUGUGGCGCCUACACUGACUGAAGAGGAAGUUAAUGAUGAUGAUCAUGAAGCUUCGGAUCAAGUUACUACUGAACCGCGAAGGUCCACAAGGGCACGCUCCGCACUAGAGUGGUACGGCAACCCUGUGAUGGAAAUCAUGUUGUUAGACAACGGUGAACCUUCGAACUAUGAAGAAGCGAUGGCAGGCCCGGAUUCCAACAAAUGGCUUGAGGCUAUGAAAUCCGAGAUAGGAUCCAUGUAUGAGAACAAAGUAUGGACUUUGGUGGACUUGCCCGAUGACCGACGAGCCAUAGAAAAUAAAUGGAUCUUCAAGAAGAAGACUGAUGCAAACGGUAAUGUAACCGUUUACAAAGCUCGACUUGUCGCAAUGGGUUUUUGACAAAUUCAAGGAGUUGACUACGAAGAGACUUUCUCUACCGUAGCGAAGCUGAAAUCAGUCUGAAUCAUGUUAGCGAUUGCCGCCUUUUAUGAUUAUGAAAUUUGGCAAAUGGACGUCAAAACAGCGUUCCUUAACGGGAACCUUAAGGAAGAGUUGUAUAUGAUGCAACCAGAAGGUUUUGUCGACCCUAAGGGUGCUAACAAAGUGUGCAAGCUCCAACGCUCCAUCUAUGGGCUGGUGCAAGCAUCUAGGAGUUGGAACAUUCGCUUUAAUGAGGUGAUUAAAGCGUUUGGGUUCGUACAGGUUUACGGAGAAGCCUGUCUGUACAAGAAAGUGAGUGGGAGCUCUGUAGCUUUCCUCAUACUGUAUGUGGAUGACAUAUUAUUGAUGGGGAAUAAUAUAGAGAUGUUGGAGAGCAUAAAGGCCUAUUUGAACAAGAGUUUUUUAAUGAAGGACCUUGGAGAAGCUGCAUACAUAUUAGGCAUCAAGAUCUAUAGAGAUAGAUCGAGACGCCUCAUAGGUCUUUCGCAAAGUACAUACCUUGACAAGAUAUUGAAGAAGUUCAAUAUGGAAAACUCAAAGAAAGGGUUCUUGCCAGUUUUGCAAGGUAUGAGAUUGAGUAAGACUAAGUCACCGACCACGACAGCAGAUAGAGAGAAGAUGAGUUCUGUCCCCUACGCUUCAGCCGUGGGCUCUCUAAUGUAUGCCAUGCUGUGUACCAGACCUGAUAUAAACCUUGCCAUAAGUUUGGUUGGGAGGUACCAAAGUGAUCCAGGUAUGGAACACUGGACAGCGGUCAAGAAUAUCCUUAAGUACCUGAAAAGGACUAAGGAAAUGUUUCUCGUUUAUGGAGGUGACGAAGAGCUCGUCGUAAAGGGUUACGUCGAUGCUAGCUUCGACACAUAUCCGGAUGACUCUAAGUCACAGACCGGAUACGUAUAUGUGUUGAAUGGUGGGGCAGUGAGCUGGUGCAGCAGCAAGCAAGAAGUCGUGGCAGCAUCUACAUGUGAAGCGGAGUACAUAGCUGCUUCAGAAGCAGCUCAUGAAGGAAUUUGCAUGAAGGAGCUCAUCACCGACCUUGGAGUGGUUCCAAGCGCGUCGGGUCCUAUGACACUCUUCUGUGAUAACACUGGAGCCAUUGCCAUAGCCAAGGAGCCCAGGUUUCACCGGAAGACGAAGCACAUCAAACGCCGCUACAACUCCAUCCAGGACCAUGUCCAGAGUGGAGUGAUAGAUAUUUGUAAAGUACACACGGAUCUGAAUAUUGCAGACCCGUUGACUAAACCUCUUCCACAAGCAAAACAUGAUCAACACCAUAAUGCUAUGGGUGUUCGAUACAUCACAAUGUAACUAGAUUAUUGACUCUAGUGCAAGUGGGAGACUGUUGGAAAUAUGCCCUAGAGGCAAUAAUAAUAUGGUUAUUAUCAUAUUUCCUUGUUCAUGAUAAUCGUCUAUUGUUCAUGCUAUAAUUGUAUUAACAGGAAACAGUAAUACAUGUGUGAAUAAAUAGAUCACAAUGUGUCCCUAGCAAGCCUCUAGUUGGCUAGCUCGUUAGUCAAUAGAUGAUAAUGGUUUCCUGAUCAUGGGCAUUAGAUGUCAUUGAUAACAGGAUCACAUCAUGGGGAGAAUGAUGUGAUGGACAAGACCCAAUCCUAAGCCUAGCACUAGAUCGUAUUGUUCGUAUGCUAAUGCUUUUCAAAUGUCAAGUAUCUUUUCCUUCGACCGUGAGAUUGUGCAACUCCCGGAUACCGUAGGAGUGCUUUGGGUGUAUCAAACGUCACAACGUAACUGGGUGACUAUAAAGGUGCACUACGGGUACCUCCGAAAGUGUCUGUUGGGUUGGUACGAAUCGAGAUCGGGAUUUGUCACUCCGUGUGACGGAGAGGUAUCUCUGGGCCCACUCGGUAGAACAUCAUCAUGAGCUCAAUGUGACUAAGGAGUUAGUCACACGAUGACGUUCUACGGAACGAGUAAAGAGACUUACCGGUAACGAGAUUGAACAAGGUAUAGGUAUACCGACGAUCGAAUCUCGGGCAAGUUCUAUACCGAGAGACAAAGGGAAUCGUAUACAGGAUUGAUUGAAUCCUUGACAUCGUGGUUCAUCCGAUGAGAUCAUCGUGGAGCAAGUGGGAGCCACCAUGGGUAUCCAGACCCCGCUGAUGGUUAUUGGCCAGAGAGGUGUCUCGGUCAUGUCUGCCUGUCUCCCGAACCCGUAGGGUCUACACACUAAGGUUCGAUGACGCUAGGGUUAUAGGGAAUUAUUAUAUGAGGUUACCGAAAGUUGUUCGGAGUCCCAGCUGAGAUCCCGGACGUCACGAGGAGCUCCGGAAUGGUCCGGAGGUAAAGAUUGAUAUAUAGGACGGAUGGUUUCGGAUACCGGAAGUGUUUCGGGCAUCACCGGUAACAUAUCGGGACCAACGGGACCACCGGACGUUGCCCCAGGGGACCACCGAAGGGGGGCAACGACCCCGGGAGGUAAGGUGGGCCAAGUGGGGGUGGGAACCAGACCCUAGGUGGGCUGGUGCGCCUCCCCACUCAGCCCAUUGCGCAAGGGAGAGAAAAGGGGGGGGCAAACCCUAAGCCAGGUGGGCCUAAGGCCCACCAGUUGGUGCACCACCCCCUCCUCCCCCCUCUGGCCGCCGCACCUCCCAUCUGGGGGGCUACCGCACCCCCUAGGGUGGGAACCCUAGGGGUGGCACCCCCUCUCCCCUCCCCCUAUAUAUAGUGGGCACUUUUGGCCAUUGGAGAUCAGACUUUUCCCUCUCCCUCGGCUCAGCCCUGCUCUUCUUUCUCCUCCUCUCUGCCGGUGCUUGGCGAAGCCCUGCCGGGAGACCUCGUCUCUCCAUCGACACCACGCCGUCGUGCUGCUGGAGUUCUUCCCCAACCUCUCCCUCCUCCUUGCUGGAUCAAGGUGCGGGAGACGUCACAGGGCUGCACGUGUGUUGAACGCGGAGGUGCCGUAGUUCGGCAAUGGAUCGGAAUCGCUGCGAGUACGACUCCAUCAACCGCGUUCUAGCAACGCUUCCGCUUAGCGAUCUUCAAAGGUAUGAAGAUGCUCUUACCCCUCUCUUGUUGCUGGUCUCUCCAUAGGAAGAUCUGAAUAUGCGUAGGAAAAUUUUGAAUUUAUGCUACGUAUCCCAACACCUAUAGCCAGUAAGAAUCCUCUGUGGGAUCAAUUCAUCAUUAUCAUUAGGGACAAUGGUAAUACCUCCCUUCUUAGGGACGCAAUGCACCGGACUCACCCAAUCACUAUGAGCAACAAGAUAGAUAAUACCUGCUUCCAGGAGCUUUAGUAUUUCUUUUCUUACUACCUCUUUCAUCUUAGGAUUUAAUCUCCUUUGAUGAUCAGCAAUUGGUUUGGAAUCAGGAUCCAUUUUAAUCUUGUGCUGGCAUAGAGUGGGACUAAUGCCCUUAAGAUCAUCAAGAGUAUAUCCAAUAGCAGCACGGUGCUUCCUCGGAGUUUUUAGUAAUUUCUUUUCUUCAUGCUCUGAGAGGCUAGCACUAAUUACGAUAGGGUAUAUCUCUUUUUCAUCAAGAUAAGCAUACUUAAGAGUAUCAGGCAACUGUUUAAGCUCGAACACAGGAUCACCCUUUGGUGGGGGUGGAUCCCCAAGCAGUUCAACAGGCAGAUUAUUCUUAAGGAUAGGAUAUUGUUCCAAGACAACUCUAUCUAUCUCAUCCCUUUCAUCCAUAUGCAUAUCAUUUUCAUGCUCAAGCAAGUAUUUCUCUAAGGGAUCAGUAGGAGGCACGACAAUAGAAGCUAAGGAAAUAGUUUCAUCCUUAAUAGGCAACUCCUUUUCAUGAGGUUGUCUACCAAACUUGGAGAAAUUGAACUCAUGUGACACACCUCAAAACCAACAGUGACAGUUUGCUUCUCACACACAUUAUGAGCAUUGACGGUAUUGAGGAAGGGUCUGCCAAAUAUGAUGGGACAAAAGCUAUCUUGGGUGGUAGCAAGAACGAGGAAAUCACCAGGAUACUUCGUUUUACCACACAAGACUUCAACAUCCCUAACAAUUCCCACAGGGCACACUGUAUCUCUAUUGGCAAGCUGAAUAGUGACAUCAAUAGGCUCUAUCUCAAUAGGUGCAAUCUCAUCUUUGAUUUCAUCAUAUAAGGAUUUAGGUAUUGCACUAACACUAGCACCCACGUCACAUAAACCAUGAUAGCAAUGAUCUCCUAUCUUAACAGAAACAACAGGCCUAUGUUUGUCUCUAGCGUGAGCUUUACCAAUUCUAGCAGCAUCUUCACAGAAGUGAAUAUUAUGUCUCUCAACAUCGUCGGACAGAAGGUCUUUGAUAAUAGCUAUGCUAGGUUCAACUCUAAUUUUCUCAGGGGGUGUAGGUGUUCUAAUGCAGGCUCUACGUAUCACAGUUGAAGCUUUAGAAUUAUCCUUUAUCCUAACAGGGAAAGGUGGUUUCUCAAUGUAAGCACUGGGAACAACAGGAUCAUUAUAGGAAAUGACUCUCUCUUCAACUCGAUUGGGUUUAACUACAUUGACUUCUAAAGGAGGAUGAUAUUUAAACCACUUCUCUUUGGGGAGAUCAAUAUGAGUAGCAAAUGAUUCACACAAUGAAGCUACUUUCUCGGAGUCAAGUCCAUACUUAGCGCUAAAGUCACAAAAAGUAUUUGUUUCAUCAAAGGAUUUAACGCAAUCAAACUUGAAAUUCAUACCUGACUACUUACCUUCUUCAAGCUCCCAAUCUUCAGAGUUGCGUUUAAUUCUCUCCUAUAAAUUCCAUUUGAAGUCAAUAUCUCUUCAUAAAAGAACCGGUACAAGAAGUGUCAAGCAUGGUACGAUCAUCAUGAGAAAGUCGAGCAUAGAAGUUUUGAAUGAUAAUUUCUCUCGAGAGCUCAAGGUUGGGGCCUGAAUAUAACAUUCAUUUAAGCCUCCCCCAUGCUUGAGUGAUGCUUUCUCUGUCACGAGGCCAAAAAUUAUAAAUGUAAUUUCGAUCAUGAUGCACUAAAUGCAUAGGAUAAAACUUUUGAUGAAAUUCCAAUUUCAACCGAUUAGUUCCAUGAUCCAGUAUCAUCACAUAGCCUAUACCAUGUUAACGCCUUAUCCUUCAAAGAUAAAGGAAAGACCUUCUUCUUGACCUCAUCCUCGGGCAAACCUGCAAGCUUAAAUAAACCACAAACUUCAUCUACAUAGAUUAGAUGCAAGUCUGGAUGUGAUGUUCCAUCUCCUAUAAAAGGAUUAGCUAGCAGUUUCUCAAUCAUACCCAAAGGAUAUUCAAAGCAAAUAUUUUCAGUAGGUGCAGCAGGUUGAGGAGUGCUACUGCGACAACAGACCUUCCCUGGUAACGGCGCCAGGAAUCCUGCUGCAGCGGCUGCGCCUAUAGGGACUUCCUUGGCAAAUAUGCAAAGGAUUUCACUGCGGCCUUGGAGCCUUGCGUUGGUGUUCCCUUGAAGAGGAAAGGGUGAUGUAGCACAGCGGCGGUAAGUAUUUCCCUCACUUUUGUGAACCAAGGUAUCAAUCCAGUAGGAGGAGCGUUCACAAGUACCUGCACAAACACAAAGAGCUUGCACCCAACGCUAUGAAGGGGUUGUCAAUCCCUUAUAGAUUGUUUGCAAAGUUAUUACUGAAAGCAAAGAGUAAACAGAGCAAAGUAAAAGUGAAAGUGGAAACGAUAGUUGUGAAUAGACCCGGGGGCCAUAGUGUUCACUAGUGGCUUCUCUCAUGAAAGCAAGUAGACGGUGGGUGAACGAAUUACUGUCGAGCAAUUGAUAGAAUCGCGCAAAGUCGUGACAUUAUCAAAGGCAAUGAUUAUAUCUAUAGGCAUCACGUCCAAAACAAGUAGACCGAUACUUUCUGCAUCUACUACUAUUACUCCACACGUCGACCGCUUUCCAGAAUGCAUCUAGUGUAUUAAGUCCAAAAGAACAGAGUAACGCCUUAAGCAAGAUGACAUGAUGUAGAUGGAGAAUCUCAUAUCUACGAUAAAAGCCCAUCUUGUUACCCUUGAUGGCAACAACAUGAUGCGUGCCUUGCUACCCCUUUUGUCACUGGGAAAGGUCACCACACGGUAUGAACCAAAAAUCAAACACUUCUCCCAUUGCAAGAAUCAUAGAUCUAGUUGGCCAAACAAAANNNNNNNNNNNNNNNNNNNNNNNNNNNNNNNNNNNNNNNNNNNNNNNNNNNNNNNNNNNNNNNNNNNNNNNNNNNNNNNNNNNNNNNNNNNNNNNNNNNNNNNNNNNNNNNNNNNNNNNNNNNNNNNNNNNNNNNNNNNNNNNNNNNNNNNNNNNNNNNNNNNNNNNNNNNNNNNNNNNNNNNNNNNNNNNNNNNNNNNNNNNNNNNNNNNNNNNNNNNNNNNNNNNNNNNNNNNNNNNNNNNNNNNNNNNNNNNNNNNNNNNNNNNNNNNNNNNNNNNNNNNNNNNNNNNNNNNNNNNNNNNNNNNNNNNNNNNNNNNNNNNNNNNNNNNNNNNNNNNNNNNNNNCAUCUAGCUACUAACUACGGACCCAUAGGUCUGAAGUAGACUACUCACGAGUCAUUGGAGAGGCGAUGAUGUUGAUGUAGAAGCCCUCCAACUCCAAAGUCCCCUCCGGCAGGGUACCGGGAAGGGUCUCCAGAUAAGAUUUCGUGGAAACGGAAGCUAGCGGCGGCGGAAAAGUGUUUUCGUGGAUGCCUUGAUUUUUUCUGGAUUUUUAGGGAAUUUAUAAGCCAAAUAGGAGCGCCAGGGAGGCCACAAGCCUGGUUGCCGUGGGCCCCCCUGGUCGCGGCAAUAGGGCUUGUGGGCUCCCUGUGGGCCCACUGCCUUGGCCCUCAAGCCUCCCGGUCUUCUUCCGUUCUGGAAAAAAUUAUUUCGGGGAUUUUAUUCCGUUUGGACUCUGUUCCAAAAUCAGAUAUGAAAAGAGUCAAAAACACAGAAAAAACAGGAACUGGCACUUGGCACUGGAUUAAUAAGUUAGUCCCAAAAAAGAUACAAAAGGUAAACAAAACAUCCAAAGUUGACAAGAUAACAGCGUGAAACCAUCAAAAAUUAUAGAUACGUUUGAGACGUAUCAAGCAUCCCCAAGCUUAACUCCUGCUCGUCCUCGAGUAGCGAAGUGAUAAAGAAUGAUUUUUUGAUUCUUUCAUGCUACCUAGCAUAGAUGUCCUUUGUAACUCCUCUUAUGUGACGUGAAUGUUCAGAUCCAUUAGAUUCAAAACAAUAGUUUCUAUUGACAUGGAGGCAAUAAUAAUUCAAGCAAACUAGCGAGGUAAUCAUGAACUUUCAAAAUAACAAGGCCAAAAUAAAGUUAUCCCUACAAUAUCAUAUAGUCUGGCUAUGCUCUAUCAUCAUUGCACAAUGAAUUUAAAUCAUGCACAACCCCGGUAUUGGCCAAGUAAUUGUUUUCACACCUUUACUUUCUCAAACUUUUUCGACUCUCACGCAAUACAUGAGCGUGAGCCAUGGUUUUAGCACUAUAAGUGGUGUGGAGUGUGGUGGAGGUUGCAAGGCAAACAAGGAGAAGAUGGUCACAUUGACUAGGCAUAUCAAUGAGCUAUGGAGAUGCUCAUCAAUAGAUAUCAACGUGAAUGAGUAGGGAUUGCCAUACAAAUGAUGCACUAGAGCUAAGAGUAUGUGAAAGCUCUUAAAGAAAACUAGUGGGUGUGCAUCCAACUUGCUUGCUCACGAAGACCUAAGGCAAUUUUGAGGAAGCCUAUCAUUGGAAUAUACAAGCCAAGUUAUAUAAUGAAAAUUUCCCACUAGCUAUAUGGUGGUGACAAAACGAGAGACUCUCAAUCAUGAAGAUCAUGGUGCUUAAUAUGCACAAGUGUGGAAAGGUGGUAGCAUUGUCCCUUCUCUCUUUUUCUCUCAUUUUUUUGUGUGGGCUCUUUGUCCUCUUCUUUUUUUUGGUGGGCAUCUUUGGCCUCAUUUAAUUCCUCACAUGGGACAAUGCUCCAUUAAUGAUGAUCAUCACACUUACAACUCAAAACUUAGAGCAAUGAUGACUAUAUAUGGAAUGCCUUCGGUAGUGUACCGUGACAAUGAUCUAGCAUGGUAUAGACAUCAAUGGAAACAUCGUGCUAGCUAUCUUACGAUCAUGCAAUGGCAAUGUAGAAGUGGUGGCACAUGUCAUGGUGGUAGUCGUAUGGUAAUAUAUCUCGAAAUAGCUUUGAAAAAGCCAUAGUAGGUAGGUAUGGUGGUUGUUUUGAGGGAGGCUAUAUAGGUGGUUUUGUGCACCGGUGAAAGUUGCACGACACUAAAGAAGAUAGUGAUGGUGGAAGGUGAAAGUGCAUCUAAACCAUGGACUCAACAUUAGUCAUGAAGAACUCAUAUACUUGUUGCAAAAGUUUUAGUACUAAUCGAAACAAAGCAUUCAACGCAUACUCCUAGGGGAAGGGUUGGUAGGUAUAAACCAUCGCGCGAUCCCGACCGCCACACAAAGGAUGACAAUCAAUAGACUAAUCAUGCUCAGACUUUAUCACAUAGCGUUUCACCAUACGUGCAUGCUACUAGAAUCACUAACUUCAACACAAGUAUUUCUAGAUCCACAACACCUUACUAAUAUGACUUCAAUAUUACAACAAGAACAACUUAAAACUAAUUGAGAUGAAUCAAACUUCUCUAACUAUUCAAUGCACAUGAAGGAGGAAGUUUUCAUAUCCCUUUGGAUAACUACCCCUUUUGAGACUACUUUCAUAGCAUAGAUCAACUACCAAGCCACGCACCGCCGUGCUCUAAAAAAUAUAAGUGAAGCACAUAGAGCAAAAUCAACUAGCUGAAAAGAUAUAAGUGAAGCACAUGUGAGCUGAAUUGUCUAACCAAAGGAUAUAAGUGAAGCUCGACAAAAUCACGGUGACUACAUGUCUCUCUCUCUAGGUGUGCAGCAAGGAUGAUUGUGACACAACAACAAAAAAAUAAAGACUCCUACAAUACAAGACGAUCCAAGCAAAACACAUAACAUGUGGUGAAUAAAAAUAUAGCCCCAAGUAACGUUACCGAUGGAUUGAAGACGAAAGAGGGGAUGCCUUCCCGGGGCAUCCCCAAGCUUAGGCUUUUACGGCAUCCUUGAAUAAACUUGGGUUGCCUUGGGCAUCCCCAAGCUUGAGCUCUUGCCACUCUUUAUCUUUUUGUCCAUAAUAACUUCACCCAAAAAUUGAAAACUUCACAACACGAAACUUAAACAGAAACUCGUGAUAACAUUAGUAUAAGAAAGCAAACCACCACUUCCUUAGGUACUGUAGCAAACUUAAAUUCAACUUAUGUUGAUGUUGGGUUACUGUAUUUUCAAUCUUCCAUGGCUAAUACCCCCCGAUACUAUCCAUAGUUUCGUCAAAACAAGCAACCAACUCAAAUAAAACAGAAUGUGUCAAAAACAAACCAGUCUGUAGCAAUCUGUAUACUUCGUAUACUUCUGGUACUUAAACAAUUCUGAAAAAUUACGACAGUCUGAAGAAUGUGCAUAGCAAUCAGCAAAAAAAAGAAUCAACUAAAAAUCUCUUACAGAAAAAAAUGAAAAUUCUUUUCGUGAGCAGAAAGUUUCUGUCUUUUCCAUCAUGGCCAAACGAUCAUCCCCAAGACUAAUCAUAACGGUUUUGCUUGGCACAAACGCAAAAAGAAACACAAAAAACACAAUCAUAACGGAAUUAUGAAAGUGUGGAAAACACAAAACAGAAAGAAAAAGGAUAGAUUCGUUGGGUUGCCUCCCAACAAGCGCUAUUGUUUAACGCCCUUAGCUAGGCAAAAGGUGAUGGAAUCACGUAUAGUCAUCUUUGGUGCUCAAACCAUAAGUAGNNNNNNNNNNNNNNNNNNNNNNNNNNNNNNNNNNNNNNNNNNNNNNNNNNNNNNNNNNNNNNNNNNNNNNNNNNNNNNNNNNNNNNNNNNNNNNNNNNNNNNNNNNNNNNNNNNNNNNNNNUCAAACCAUAAGUAGCCCUCAUCAUAGAUUCAUAAGGCAAUCUUAUUUUCUUUCUAGGAAAAUGCUCCAUGACCUUCUUUAGGGGAAAUUGAAAUCUAAUAUUCCCUUCCUUCAUAUCGAUGAUAGCACCAAUAGUCCAUAGGAAAGGUCUACCAAGAAUAAUGGGACAUGAAGGAUUGCAAUCUAUGUCAAGUACAAUGAAAUCCACGGGUACGUAGUUCUUAUUUGCAACAGUAAGAACAUCAUUAAUCCUUCCCAUGGGUUUCUUGACAGUAGAAUCUGCAAGAUGCAAAUUAAGAGAACACUCUUCAAUCUCAUGAAAACCAAGAAUAUCACAUAAAGUCUUUGGAAUCGCGGAAACACUAGCACCCAAAUCACACCAAGCAUUGCAUUCAUAGUUUUUGAUCUUGAUUUUGAUAGUAGGUUCCCACUCAUCAUGAAGUUUUCUAGGUAUAGAGACUUCUAAUUCGAGCUCCUCUUCAAGAUAUUUCAUCAUAGCAUCUACGGUAUGAGCGGUAAAGGCUUUGCUUUGGCUAUAAGCAUGUGGAGAGUUUGCAAUGGAUUGCAUCAAGGAAAUGCAUUCAAACAAGGAGCAACUAUCAUAAUUGAAUUCCUUGAAAUCCAAAGUGGGAGUUUCAUUACUACCCAAAAUUUUGAUUUCUUCUACUCCACUCUCCACACCUUUAUCAUCAAGAUAGGUGGACUCCGAAUCAUUGGGGCAUUUUUCAACCAAAGUGGAUUCAUAUCCAGCCCCUUCAUCAAUAGGUUUGACACACGAAAACAAAGAUUCAAGAGGAGUCACACCAAGCACUUUAAGAUCUUCGUGAUUUGCAUCACUAGAACGCACCCUUUUAAACCAUUCAUGCCUAGCGCGAAUUUGGGCGGUUCUUUCUUUGCUCUCAUUUAUGGAGACACGCAUAGCUUUUAAAGUUUCAUCGAAGUUGACCUUGGGAGGAGCACAUCUAACCUUCAAAGCAUCAAUAUCACAAGACAUCCUAUCAACGCUCUUAGCCAAAUCGUCUAUUUUGAGUAGUUUUUCCUGUAUGGACGCAUUGAAAAUCUUUUGCGAGUUGAUGAACUCUUUGAUAUUACUCUCUAAAUCAGAGGGUAAUUUGUUGCGCCAUAAGUGUUGUUGUAGGAAUUCUCAUAAUUGUUAGAGGAGUUACUAGGAAAAGGCCUAGGAACAUAGUUUCCUCUAAAAGCAUUGUUGUUGCCAAAAUUGUUCCUACCAACAAAAUUAACGUCCAAACUAGCAUUGCUACUCUCAGUCAAGGAAGAUAGUGGCAUGUCAUUAGGAUCUAAAGUGGAAUUUCUACUAGCAACUAAAUUCAUCAACUCGUCCAUCUUAGCACUAAUCGAGUUAAUUUCUUCUAUAGCGUGUACCUUUUUGCUAGCAGGUGACCUUUCAGUGUGCCACUGAGAGUAGUUGGUCAUGAUAUUGUCUAGGAGUUUUGUAGCGACUCCUAACGUGAUUUCCAUGAACGUUCCACCUGAGGCGGAGUCCAAGAUAUUGCGAGAAACGAAAUUCAAACCAGCGUAAAAUAUUUGUAUAAUCAUCCACAAACUCAAGCCAUGAGCGGGACAAUUUCUAAUCAUUAACUUCAUCCUCUCCCAAGAUUGUGCAACGUGUUCAUGAUCAAGUUGCUUGAAAUUCAUGAUAUUGUUACGUAGGGAGAUAAUCUUAGCCGGAGGAAAAUACUUGGAUAUGUAAGCAUCUUUGCACUUAUCCCAAGAAUCGAUACUAUUUUUAGGCAAAGAAGAAAACCAAGUUUUUGCGCGAUCUCGCAACGAGAAAGGAAAAAGCUUCAACUUAAUCACGUCAUUAUCCACAUCUAUUUUCUUUUGCAUAUCGCAAAGAUCAAUGAAGGUAUUGAGAUGGGAUGCAGCAUCUUCACUAGGAAGGCCAUAGAAUUGCUCUUUCAUAACAAGAUUCAGCAAGGCAGCAUUGAGUUCAUAUGAUUCCGCACUACUGGCGGGAGCAAUCGGAGUACUAAUAAAAUCAUUAUUAUUGGUACUCGAGAAGUCGCAAAGUUUGGUGUUUUCAGCCAUGAUGAAUUCAACAAACCAACAAGAAAACAAGCAAGCAAGAAAACCGGCAAAGGAAAACGGCAAAGGGCAAAAGAAAACGGCAAAGGAAAACAGCAAAAAGGCAAAUGAAAACGGCAAAGGGGAAAGGCAAAUGAAAAACGGCAAAUGUGAAGUGGGGGAGAGGAAAACGAGAGGCAACUGGCAAAAAAGGUAAAUGCAAGAGAUGAGUUUGUGACACCUACUUUGAUAGAUCUCCUCCCCGCCAACGGUGCCAGAAAUCCUUCUGCUACUGCGACAACAGACCUUCCCUGGUAACGGCACCAGGAAUCCUACUGGAGCAGCUACGCAAUAGGGACUUCCUUGGCAAAUAUGCAAAGGAUUUCCCCGCGGCCUUGGAGCCUUGCGUUGGUGUUCCCUUGAAGAGGAAAGGGUGAUGUAGCAUAGCGGCAGUAAGUAUUUCCCUCAGUUUUGAGAACCAAGGUAUAAAUCCAGUAGGAGGAGCGUUCACAAGUACCUACACAAACACAAAGAGCUUGCACCCAAUGCUAUGAAGGGGUUGUCAAUCCCUUAUAGAUUGUGUGCAAAGUGAGAACUCAAAGCAAAGAGUAAACAGAGCAAAGUAAAAGUGAAAGUGGAAACGAUAGUUGUGAAUAGACCCGGGGGCCGUAGUGUUCACUAGUGGCUUCUCUCAUGAAAGCAAGUAGACGGUGGGUGAACGAAUUACUCUCGAGCAAUUGAUAGAACCGCGCAAAGUCGUGACGUUAUCUAAGGCAAUGAUUAUAUCUAUAGGCAUCACAUCCAAAACAAGUAGACUGAUACUUUCUGCAUCUACUACUAUUACUUCACAUGUCGACUGCUAUCCAGCAUGCAUCUAGUGUAUUAAGUCCAAAAGAACAGAGUAACGCCUUAAGCAAGAUGACAUGAUGUAGAUGGACAAUCUCAUAUCUACGAUAAAAGCCCAUCUUGUUACCCUUGAUGGCAACAACACGAUGCAUGCCUUGCUGCCCCUUCUAUCACUGGGAAAGGUCACCACACGGUAAGAACCCAAAACCAAGCACUUCUCCCAUUGCAAGAAUCAUAGAUCUAGUUGGCCAAACAAAACCCAAGACUCGGAGAGACUUACAAGGAUAUCAAAUCAUGCAUAUAAGAAAUCAGCAAAGACUCAAAUAUAACUCAUAGAUAAUCUGAUCACAAAUCCACAAUUCAUCGGAUCUUGACAAACACACCGCCAAAGAGGAUUACAUCGGAUAGAUCUCCAUGAAGAUCAUGGAGAACUUUGUAUUGAAGAUCCAAGAGAGAGAAGAAGCCAUCUAGCUACUAACUACGGACCCGUAGGUCUGAAGUAGACUAAUCACGAGUCAUUGGAGAGGCGAUGAUGUGGAUGUAGAAGCCCUCCAACUCCAAAGUCCCCUCCGGCAGGGCACCGGGAAGUGUCUCCAGAUGAGAUCUCGCGGAAACGGAAGCUUGCGGCGGCGGGGAAAAGUACUUUCGUGGAUGCCCAGAUUUUUUCUGGAUUUUUAGGGAAUUUAUAGGCCAAAGAGCUAGGGCAGGCGAGCGCCAGGGAGGCCACAAGCGUGGUUGCCGUGGGGCCCCCCUGGCUGCGGCAACAGGGCUUGUGGGCUCCCUGUGGGCCCACUGCCUUGGCCCUCAAGCCUCCCGAUCUUCUUCCGUUCUGGAAAAAUUUAUUUCGAGGAUUUUAUUCCGUUUGGACUCCGUUCCAAAAUCAGAUCUGAAAAGAGUCAAAAACACAGAAAAAAACAGGAACUGGCACUUGGCACUGGAUUAAUAAGUUAGUCCCAAAAAAGAUAUAAAAGGUAAACAAAACAUCCAAAGUUCACAAGAUAACAGCGUGAAACCAUCAAAAAUUAUAGAUACGUUUGAGACGUAUCAAGGAGCAACUCUUCGCGCUUCCAUUCGAGGUGAAGAUACCCCGAACAAGCCCCUCAAAGGAUUAGUUUCUAUAGUGACAAGUGACAGUAAAUUUCAGCACACUAUAUGAAUGUUUCCUUACCAAGUUCCACUUACCAAAGGCGCUUCACCUCCCCGGCAACGGCGGCAAAAAAGAGUCUUGAUGACCCACAAGUAUAAGGGAUCUAUCGUAGUCCUUCCGAUAAGUAAGAGUGUCGAACCCAACGAGGAGCAGAAGGAUCUGACAAGUGGUUUUCAGCAAGGUAAUAUCUGAAGCACUGAAAUUAUCGGUGACAAGUAGUUCUGUGGUGAGAUGAUUCGUAGCAAGUAGCAAGUAACAAAAGUAGAAACGGUGCAACAAAGUGGCCCAAUCCCUUUUGUAGCAUGGGACAAGCCUGGACAAAGUCUUAUAGGAGGAAAAACGCUCCNNNNNNNNNNNNNNNNNNNNNNNNNNNNNNNNNNNNNNNNNNNNNNNNNNNNNNNNNNNNNNNNNNNNNNNNNNNNNNNNNNNNNNNNNNNNNNNNNNNNAACAAAUAAAUACUUUGAUAAUUUUAGUUAAUACUUUCGUUGAUUUUUUGAACUUAUUUCAACUCGAGACUUUUUGUGCGUUCAACAUGCACCAUUCAAAGGCACAUCAUCAAUUUUCAACCCUUUCUGACUUCAUUUGAUAUUUUUGAUGCAUUUACUGAUUUUUUGAGCUAAAUGACCCUAAAAUUCAAAAGCACUUCAAAUUAACUCUAAAAAGGUUGNNNNNNAAUACUUAGAGUUUUUGAGUGAUUCUUUUUUGCUUUAGGUAACAAAAAUUAUAAACUUUCUGUUAGUGCUAGUAGUUUGCAAAUUUGAAUUAUUUGCCAUUAAAGAUUUUAUUUUGUGUUAUUUUAGUUUGCUAUAAAAUAAUUUUAAAAAAAAACAUAUGAAAAUUCUUUUUGAUUCUUUUUAUUUNNNNNNNNNNNNNNAGUUGAGAGGGUUACGACAAAAACUGGAUGCAUUUCGUGUACAAAAUGGAUAAUCUCUUUCGAAGUAUCACAGUUUCAGACAAAAACUCAUCUACUACAAAGGGAUUUCAUUUUUUGAACUUAUUUCAGCUCCACACUUUUUGUGCGUCCAACAUGCACCAUUCAAAGCCACAUCAUCAAUUUUCAACCCUUUCAUCCCUUUCUGACUUCAUUUGAUAUUUUUCAGGCAUUUACUUAUUUUUUUUGAGCUAAAUGACCCUGAAAUUGAAAAGCACUGCAAAUGAACUCUAAAAAGGUUGNNNNNNNNNNNNNNNNNNNNNNNNNNNNNNNNNNNNNNNNNNNNNNNNNNNNNNNNNNNNNNNNNNNNNNNNNNNNNNNNNNNNNNNNNNNNNNNNNNNNACCUGGAUGCCCAUAUUGGAUCCCACAUAUUCUACGAAGAUCUUAUCGUUUGAACCUCAGUGCCAGGGAUUCAUAUAAUCCCGUAUGUCAUUCCCUUUGUCCUUCGGUAUGUUACUUGCCCGAGAUUCGAUCGUUAGUAUCCGCAUACCUAUUUCAAUCUCGUUUACCGGCAAGUCUCUUUACUCGUUCCGUAAUACAAGAUCCCGCAACUUACACUAAGUNNNNNNNNNNNNNNNNNNNNNNNNNNNNNNNNNNNNNNNNNNNNNNNNNNNNNNNNNNNNNNNNNNNNNNNNNNNNNNNNNNNNNNNNNNNNNNNNNNNNNNNNNNNNNNNNNNNNNNNNNNNNNNNNNNNNNNNNNNNNNNNNNNNNNNNNNNNNNNNNNNNNNNNNNNNNNNNNNNNNNNNNNNNNNNNNNNNNNNNNNNNNNNNNNNNNNNNNNNNNNNNNNNNNNNNNNNNNNNNNNNNNNNNNNNNNNNNNNNNNNNNNNNNNNNNNNNNNNNNNNNNNNNNNNNNNNNNNNNNNNNNNNNNNNNNNNNNNNNNNNNNNNNNNNNNNNNNNNNNNNNNNNNNNNNNUAGGAACAAAUACUUGGCACACAGAAAACAGUAGCAACAAAAUGACACGAUCAACAUGCUACGUCUAUUAGUUUGGGUCUAGUCCAUCACGUGAUUCUCCUAAUGACGUGAUCCAGUUAUCAAGCAACAACUCCUUGUACAUAGUCAGAAGACCAUGACUAUCUUUGAUCAACUGGCUAGCCAACUAGAGGCUUGCUAGGGACAUUGUUUUGUCUAUUUAUCCACACAUGUAUAUAAGUCUUCAUUCAAUACAACUAUAGCACGGAUAAUAAACGAUUAUCUUGAUACAGGAAUUAUAAUAAUGAUUAUAUUUAUUAUUGCCUCUAGGGCAUAAUUCCAACAGUGACGCCACUGGAGGUCAUGUUGUUGGACAACAAUGAACCUACAAGCUAUGUAUAAGCGACGGUAACCCUGUCUUGGAGGUCAUGUUGUUGGACAACAAUGAACCUACAAGCUAUGGAGAAGCGAUGAUGGUCCCGGAUUCCGACAAAUGGCUGGAGGCCAUGAAAUCCGAGAGAGGAUCCACGUAUGAAAACAAAGUGUGGACUUUCGAAGAACUACUUGAUGGUCGUAAGACUGUUAAGUACAGAUGGAUCUUUAAAAGGAAGACAAACGAUGAUGGUGAAAAGUCACCAUUAAGAAAAAUCGACUUGUCGCAAAGAUGUUUCCGACAAGUUCAAAGAGUUGAAUAUGAUAAGACUCUCACUCGUAGUGAUGCUAAAAGUCUAUUGGAAUUAUGUUAGCAGUUUCUGCAUUAUUUAUGAAAUCUUGCAGAUAGGAUGUCAAAACAUUGUUUCCUCGACGGUUUCCUUGAGGAAAGGUUGUAUGUGGUACAACCAGAAGGUUUUGUCGAUCCUAAGGAUGCUAACAAGUAUGCAAGCUCCAACGAUCCUUGUAUGGUCUAGAGCAAGCAUCUCGGAGUUGGAAUAUAUGCUUUGAUGAGAUGAUCAAAGCUUUUGGGUUUAUACAAGGUUUAUGAGAAACUUGUAUUUCCAAGGAAGUGAGUGGGAGCACUAUAGAAUUUCUGAUUAGUAUAUGUGAUUGACAUAUUUUUGAUCAAAAAUGAUGUAGAAUUUUUGGAAAGCAUAUAGGGUUGUUUCAAAAAUGUUUUUCAAAGGAAAACCUGGAUUGAUCUACUUGAACAUUGAGCAUCAAGAUCCAUAGAGAUAGAUCAAAACGCUUAAUAGAACUUUCAAAUGAAUACAUACUAUGACAAGAUUUUGAAGGAGUUCAAAAUAGAUAAGUGAAAGAAGGAGUUCUUGGCUAUGUUGUAAGGUGUGAAUUUGAGUAAGACUCAAAGCUCGACCACGGCAGAAAAAGGAGAAAGGACGAAGGUCGUCCCCUAUGCCUUAGCCAUAGGCUCUAUAGUAUGCUAUGUUGUGUACCGCACCUGAUGUGUGCCUUGCCAUGAAUCUGUCAAGGGGUACAGAAGUGAUCCAGGAAUGGAUUAGUGGACAGCGGUCAAAAGUUAUCCUUAGUAACUGGUGGACUAAGGAUUUUUUUUUCUCGGUUAUGGAGGUGAUAAAAGAGUUCAUUGUAAGGGUUACGUCGAUGCAAGCUUUGACACUAAUCUGGAUGAGUCUGAGUAGUAAACUAGAUUCGUAUAAUGGAGCAGUCAUUUGGAAUAGUUCCAAAUGGCGUGUGGUAGCAACGUAAAGCACACACGAAUCUGAAAGGUUCAGACCCGUUGACUAAAAACCUCUCUCACAAGCAAGACAUGAUCGAACCCCGGAACUGUAUGGGUGUUAGAUUCAUUAGAAUCACAUAGUGAUGUGAACUAGAUUAUUGACUCUAGUGCAAGUGGGAGACUUUUGGAAAUAUGCCCUAGAGGCAAUAACAAAUUGGUUAUUAUUAUAUUUUCUUGUUCAUGAUAAUCGUUUAUUAUUCAUGCUAGAAUUGUAUUGAUUGGAAACUCAAAUACAUGUGUGGAUACAUAGACAACACAUUGUCCCUAGUGAGCCUCUAGUUGACUAGCUCGUUGAUCAAAGAUGGUCAAGGUUUCCUGGCCAUAGACAAGUGUUGUCACUUGAUAACGGGAUCACAUCAUUAGGAGAAUGUUGUGAUGGACAAGACACAAACUAUGAACGUAGCAUAUGAUCGUGACAGUUUAUUGUUAUUGUUUACUGCAUGUCAAUGUAUCCGUUCCUAUGACCAUGAGAUCAUGCAACUCCCGGACACUGGAGGAAUACCUUGUGUGUAUCAAACAUCGCAACGUAAUUGGGUGACUAUAAAGGUGCUCUACGGGUAUCUUUGAAGGUGUAUGUUGGGUUGGCGUGAAUCAAGACAGGAUUGGUCACUCAUGUGACAGAGAGGUAUCUCAGGGCCCACUCGGUAAUACAACAUCACAAUAAGCCUUGCAAGCAAUGUGACUAAGGAGUUAGUCACGGGAUCUUGUAUCAUGGAACGAGGAAAGAGACUUGCCGGUAACGAGAUUGAACUAGGUAUAGAGAUGCCGACGAUCGAAUCUCGGGCAAGUAACAUACCGAAGGACAAAGGGAACAUCAUACGGGAUUAACUGAAUCCUUGACAUAGAGGUUCAACCGAUAGAGAUCUUCAUAGAAUAUGUAGGAGCCAAUAUGGGCAUCCAGGUCCCACUAUUGGUUAUUGACCGUAGAGUGUGUCAGGUCAUGUCUACAUAGUUCUCGAACCCGCAGGGUCUGCACACUUAAGGUUCGGUGACAUUUUGGUAUUAUUAAGUUAUGUGUGUUUGUUAACCGAAAGUAGUUCAGAGUCUCGAAUGAGAUCACGGACGUCACGAGGGGCUCCGGAAUGGUCCGGAGGUAAAGAUUGAUAUAUAGGAAAGUUUCAUUUUGCUUCCGGAAAGUUUUCGGGCAUUACCGGUAAAGUACCGGGAGUGACGAAUGGGUUCCGGGGUUUUACCGGGAGGGGCCACCCACCCGGGAGAGAACCUAAUAGGCCUAAAGGUGGUGCACCAACCCAAGGGCUGGUGUGGCCAGGCCAAGAUGGCCUAUUUCGGCCAAGGAGCAAAGACGGGGGAAUCCCAAAAGGGAGAGGAGGAAUAUUCCAAGUGGGAGGAGUCCUACUUGGAGUAGGAUUGGAAGUGGACUCCUCCACCUCCAAUUUCGGCCAAACCUUGAGGCUUUGAGGCUGCCUACUCCCCUCCCUCCCUCCUAUAUAUACUAGAGGAAUUAGAGGCAGCCCUAACCCCUAAUUAGCCCUAACCUCUCUCUCUCUCUAGAUCGUUUUCUCCUCCAGAUUAGUUCUGCAACGCCUGGUGAAGCCCUGCUGGAUUGUCCACCACCACCACCACCACGCCGUCGUGUUGGAGAACUCAUCUACCUCUCCGCCCGCUUGCUGGAUCAAGAAGGCGGGGAUCGUCAUCGAGCUGUACGUGUGCUGAACGCGGAGGUGACAUCCGUCCGGCACUAGAUCGGGAUGGAUCGUGAUGGGAUCGCGGGACGGAUCGUGAUGAGAUCGCGGGACGGACUGCGAUUUCGAUCGCGAAGAUGUUCCACUACAUCAACCGUGUUAUAUACGCUUCCGCUUAGCGAUCUACAAGGGUAUGUGGAUCCGAUCUCCCCUCUCGUAGAUGAUCAUCACCAUGGAUAGCUCUUGCAUGUGCGUAGGAAUUUUUUUGUUUCCCAUGCAAUGUCCCCGAUCAGUGCCAUCAUGAGCUAGGUCUAUCCGUAGAUGAUAUCUCAAGUAGAACAUAAAAUAGUUUGUGGCUAUUGAUGUUCAAUUUGCUGCCCUCCUUGGUCUUUUCUUGAUUCGACAGUAUUGUUGGAUUGAAGCGGCCCGGACCAACAUUACUUGUACGCUUACGAGAGACCGGUUUCAGCGACUAACAUGCAACUUGUUGCAUAAAGAUGACUGACAGGUGCAUGUUUCUUCAACUUUAGUUGAAUCAGAUUUGACCGAGGUGGUCCUUGGAGAAAGUUAAAUAGCAACUUGCAUAUUUGUAGGGUAACGUAGCAAAAAUCAAAAUUUUCCUACGCCAUAUUCAGAUCUUCCUAUUGAGAGGCCAGCAACAAGAGAGGGGAGACUGCAUCUUCAUACCUUUGAAUAUCGCUAAGCAGAAGUGUUGCUAGAACGCGGUUGAUGGAGUCGUACUCGCGGCUAUUUAGAUCGCGGUGUGAUUCUGAUCUAGUGCCGAACCACGGCACCUCCGCGUUCAACACACGUGCAGCCCGGUGACGUCUCCCGCACCUUGAUCCAGCAAGGAGGAGGGAGAGGUUGGGGAAGAACUCCAGCAGCACGACGGCGUGGUGUCGAUGGAGAGACGAGGUCUCCCGGCAGGGCUUCGCCAAGCACCGGCAGAGAGGAGGAGAAAGAAGAGCAGGGCUGAGCCGAGGGAGAGGGAAAAGUCUGAUCUCCAAUGGCCAAAAGUGCCCACUAUAUAUAGGGGGAGGGGAGAGGGGGUGCCACCCCUAGGGUUCCCACCCUAGGGGGUGCGGNNNNNNNNNNNNNNNNNGAGCAGGGCUGCGCCGAGAGAGAGAUUAAAUUGCGUAUCUCCAAUGGCCAAAACCCCCGCUAUAUAUAGGGGGAAGGGAGGGUGGCGCCCCCCCUUAGGGUUCCCACCCCUAAGGGGUGCGGCAGCCCUAGAUGGGGGGAGGGUUGGCGGCCAGGAGGGGAGGAGGGGGUGGCGCACCCCCUGGUGGGCCUUAGGCCCACCUGCGCUAGGGUUCCCCCCUUCCCCUUCUUAGGCGCCAUGGGCUGGGUGUGGGGGCGCACCAGCCCACCCAGGGGCUGGUUCCCUCUCACACUUGUCCCAUGUAGCCUCCUGGGGCUGGUGGCCUCUCCCGGUGGGCCUCCGGAACCCUUCCGGUGGUCCCGACACUUUGCCGGUGGUGCCCGAAACAUUUCCGACGUCCAAAACCAUCCAUCCUAUAUAUCAAUCUUUACCUCCGGACCAUUCCGGAGCUCCUCGUGACGUCCGUCAUCUCAUCCGGGACUCCGAACUACCUUCGGUAACCUCGUACAACAAUUCCCUAUAACCCUAGCUUCAUCGAACCUUAAGUGUGUAGAUCCUACGAGUUCGGGAGGCAUGCAGACAUGACCGAGACACCUCUCCGGCCAAUAACCAUCAACGGGGUCUGGAUACCCAUGGUGGCUCCCACAUGUUCCACGACGAUCUCAUCGGAUGAACCACGAUGUCAAGGAUUCAAUCAAUCCCGUAUACAAUUCCCUUAGUCUGUCGGUAUAGAACUUGCCCGAGAUUCGAUCGUCGAUAUACCUAUACCUUGUUCAAUCUUGUUACCGGUAAGCCUCUUUACUCGUUCUGUAGCACGUCAUCCUAUGACUAACUCCUUAGUCACAUUGAGCUCAUGAUGAUGUUCUAUCGAGUGGGACCAGAGAUACCUCUCCGUCAUAUGGAGUGACAAAUCCCGAUCUCGAUUCGUGCCAACCCAACAGACACUUUCGGAGAUAACCGUAGUGCACCUUUAUAGUCACCCAGUUACAUUGUGACGCUUGAUACACCCAAAGCACACCUAUGGUUUCCGGGAGUUGCACAAUCUCACAGUCGAAGGAAAAGACACUUGACAUUAGAAAAGCUUUAGCAUACGAACAACACGAUCUAGUGCUAUGCUUAGGAUUGGGUCUUGUCCAUCACAUCAUUCUCCUAAUGAUGUGAUCCCGUUAUCAAUGACAUCCAAUGUCCAUGAUCAGGAAACCAUGAUCAUCUAUUGAUCAACGAGCUAGCCAACUAGAGACUUGCUAGGGACACAUUGUGAUCUAUUUAUUCACACAUGUAUUACUGUUUUCUGAUAAUACAAUUAUAGCAUGAACAAUAGACAAUUAUCAUGAACAAGGAAAUAUGAUAAUAACCAUUUUAUUAUUGCCUCUAGGGCAUAUUUCCAACAGUCUCCCACUUGCACUAGAGUCAAUAAUCUAGUUACAUUGUGAUGAAUCGAACACCCAUAGCAUUAUAGUGUUGGUCAUGUUUCGCUCGAGAGAGAGGUUUAGUCAACGGGUAUGCAAUGUUCAGAUAUGUGUGUACUUUACAAAUAUCUAUUACUCCUCUCUGGACCUGGUCCUGGAUGGAGUUGUAGCGGCGUUGGAUGUGCUUGGUCUUCCGAUGAGAUCUCGGCUCCUUGGCUAUGGCAAUGGCUCCAGUGUUAUCACAGAAGAGUGUCAUCGGACCUGGCGCGCUUGGAACCACUCCAAGGUCGGUGAUGAACUCCUUCAUCCAAAUCCCUUCAUGAGCCGCUUCUGAAGCAGCUAUGUACUCCACUUCACAUGUAGAUGCUGCCACGAAGUCUUGCUUGCUACUGCACCAGCUCACUGCCCCGCCAUUCAAAACAUACACGUAUCCGGUCUGUGACUUAGAGUCAUCCGGAUCUGUGUCGAAGCUAGCAUCGGCGUAACCCUUUACGACGAGCUCUUCGUCACCUCCAAAAACGAGAAACAUCUCCUUAGUCCUUUUCAGGUACUUAAGGAUAUUCUUGACCGCUAUCCAGUGUUCCAUACCGGGAUCACUUUGGUACCUCCCUACCAAACUUAUGGCAAGGUUUAUAUCAGGUCUGGUACACAACAUGGCAUACAUUAGAGAGCCCACGGCUGAAGCGUAGGGGAUAGUACUCAUCUUCUCUCUAUCUGCUGUCGUGGUCGGUGACUGAGUCUUACUCAAUCUUUUACCUUGCAAAACUGGCAAGAACCCCUUCUUCGAGUUUUCCAUAUUGAACUUCUUCAAUAUCUUGUCAAGGUAUGUACUUUGUGAAAGACCUAUGAGGCGUCUCGAUCUAUCUCUAUAGAUCUUGAUGCCUAAUAUGUAUGCAACUUCUCCAAGGUCCUUCGGUGAAAAACAAUUGUUCAAGUAGGCCUUUAUGCUCUCCAAUAGCUCUAUAUUAUUCCCCAUCAAUAGUAUGUCAUCCACAUAGAGUAUGAGGAAAGCUACAGAGCUCCCACUCACUUUCUUGUACAGACACGCUUCUCCAUAAACCUGUAUGAAUCCAAACGUUUUAAUCACCUCAUUAAAGCGAAUUUUCCAACUCCAAGAUGCUUGCACCAGCCCAUAGAUGGAGCGCUGGAGCUUGCAUACCUUGUUAGCACUCUUAGGAUCGACAAAACAUUCUGGUUGCAUCAUAUACAACUCUUCCUUAAGAUACUCGUUAAGGAACAUUGUUUUGACGUCCAUUUGCCAAAUUUCAUAAUCAUGAAAAGCGGCAAUUGCUAACAUGAUUCGGACUGACUUUAGCUUCGCUACGGGGAGAAAGUCUCAUCAUAGUCAACUCCUUGAAUUUGUCGAAAACCCUUUGCGACAAGUCGAGCUUUGUAAACGGUCACAUUACCGUUUGCGCCAGUCUUCUUCUUGAAGAUCCAUUUAUUCUCUAUGGCUCGCCGAUCAUCGGGGAAGUCCACCAAAGUCCAUACUUUGUUCUCAUACAUGGAUCCUAUCUCGGAUUUCAUAGCCUCAAGCCAUUUGUUGGAAUCCGGGCCCGCCAUUGCUUCUUUAUAGUUCGAAGGUUCACCGUUGUCUAACAACAUGAUUUCCAUCACACGGUUGCCGUACCACUCUGGUGCGGAACGUGCCCUUGUGGACCUUCGUGGUUCAGUAGCAACUUGAUCCGAAGCUUCAUGAUCAUCAUCAUUAACUUCCUCUCGAGUUGGCGUAGGCGCCACCGGAACAAUUUCCCAUGCUGCGCUACUCUCCGGUUCGAGGGGGGUGUAAUUACCUCAUCAAGUUCUACUUUCCUCCCACUUACUUCUUUUGAGAGAAACUCCUUCUCUAGAAAGGAUAUGUUCUUGGCAACAAAGGUUUUACCUUCGGAUCUAAGAUAGAAGGUAUACCCAAUAGUUUCCUUAGGGUAUCCUAUAAAUACGCAUUUCUCCGCUUUGGGUUCGAGCUUUUCUGGCUGAAGUUUCUUCACAUAAGCAUCGCAGCCCCAAACUUUUAGAAACGAUAGCUUAGGUUUCUUGCCAAACCAUAGUUCAUACGGUGUCGUCUCAACGGAUUUAGACGGUGCCCUAUUUAAAGUGAAUGAUGCAGUUUCCAAUGCGUAUCCCCAAAAUGAUUGUGGUAAGUCGGUAAGAGACAUCAUAGAUCGUAGCAUAUCUAAUAAAGUGCGAUUACGAAGUUCAGACACUCCGUUACGUUGCGGUGUGCCAGGCCGCGUCAGUUGUGAAACGAUUCCACAUUUCCUUAGGUGUGUGCCGAACUCGUGACUCAAAUAUUCUCCUCCACGAUCAGAUCGUAGACACUUUAUUUUUCUGUCACGUUGAUUCUCAACCUCACUCUGAAAUUCCUUGAACUUUUCAAAUGUUUCAGAUUUGUGCUUCAUCAAGUAGACAUACCCAUACCUACUCAAAUCAUCGGUGAGAGUGAGAACAUAACGAUAGCCACUGCGAGCUUCAACGUUCAUUGGACCACACACAUCAGUAUGUAUUAUUUCCAAUAAGUCAGUUGCUCUCUCCAUUAUUCCUGAGAAUGGAGUCUUAGUCAUCUUGCCCAUGAGGCACGGUUCGCAUGUGUCAAAUGAUUCAAAGUCAAGAGAAUCUAAUAGUCCAAUACUAUGGAGCUUUUUCAUGCGCUUAACACCGAUAUGACCAAGGCGGCAGUGCCACAAGUAUGUGGGACUAUCAUUAUCAACUUUGCAUAUUUUGGUAUUCACACUAUGAAUAUGUGUGAGAUCACGAUCGAGAUUCAUCAAGAGUAAACCAUUCACCAGCGGAGCAUGACCAUAAAACAUAUCACUCAUAAAUAGAACAACCAUUAUUCUCUGACUUUAAUGAGUAGCCGUCUCGCAUUAAGAAAGACCCUGAUACAAUGUUCAUGCUCAAAGCUGGAACUAAAUAACAAUUAUUAAGGUUUAAAACUAAUCCCAAAGGUAGAUGUAGAGGCAGUGUGCCGACGGCGAUCACAUCAACCUUGGAGCCAUUCCCGAUGCGCAUCGUCACCUCGUCCUUGGUCAGCCUCCGCUUAUUCCAUAGUUCCUGCUUUGAGUUACAAAUGUGAGCAACAGCACCGGUAUCAAAUACCCAGGAGCUACUAUGAGCGCUGGUAUGGUACACAUCAAUAACAUGUAUAUCAUAUAUACCUUUAACGUUGCCGACCUUCUUGUCCGCUAAGUACUUGGGGCAGUUCCGCUUCCAGUGACCUUUUCCCUUGCAAUAGAAGCACUCAGUCUCAGGAUUGGGUCCAUUCUUUUUCUUCUUACCGGCAUCUGGCUUACCGGGCGCGGCAACGGCUUUGUCGUCUUUCUUGAAGUUCUUAUUACCGUUGACCUUCUUGAAACUGGUGGUCUUGUUGACCAUCAACACUUGAUGCACUUUCUUGACUUCUACUUCUGCAGAUUUCAGCAUCGAGUACAACUCAGGAAUGGUCUUCUCCAUCCCUUGCAUGUUGUAGUUCAGCACAAAACCCUUGUAGCUUGGUGGGAGAGACUGGAGGAUUCCGUCAAUUACAGCGUCAUCCAAGAUGAUCAUCACACUUUCAACUCAAAACUUAGAGCAACGAUGACUCUAUAUGGAAUGCCUUCGGUAGUGUACCGUGGCAAUGAUCUAGCAUGGCAUAGACAUUAAUGGAAACAUCAUGCUAGCUAUCUUACGAUCGUGCAAUGGCAAUGUAGAUGUGGUGGCACAUGUCAUGGUGGUAGUUGCAUGGCAAUAUAUCUCGGAAUGACUUUGAAAAAGCCAUUGUAGGUAGGUAUGGUGGCUAUUUUGAGGAAGGCUAAUGGUGGGUUUUGUGCACCGACGAAAGUUGCACGGCACUAAGAAGAUAGUGAUGGUGGAAGGUGAAAGUGCAUCUAAACCAUGGACUCAACAUUAGUCAUGAAGAACUCAUAUACUUGUUGCAAAAGUUUUAGUACUAAUCGAAACAAAGCAUUCAACGCAUACUCCUAGGGGAAGGGUUGGUAGGUAUAAACCAUCGNNNNNNNNNNNNNNNNNNNNNNNNNNNNNNNNNNNNNNNNNNNNNNNNNNNNNNUGUUGCAAAAGUUUUAUUAGUAAUCGAAACAAAGUAUUCAACGCAUACUCCUAGGGGAAGGGUUAGUAGGUACAAACCAUCGCGCGAUCCCGACCGCCACGCAAAGGAUGACAAUCAAUAGACUAAUCAUGCUCAGAUUUCAUCACAUAGCGGUUCACCAUACAUGCAUGCUACGGGAAUCACUAACUUCAACACAAGUAUGUCUAGAUCCACAACACCUUACUAGCAUGACUUCAAUAUUAGCGUAACCAAAACUCAAAACUAAUUGAGAUGAAUCAAACUUCUCUAACUAUUUAAUGCACAUGAAGGUGGAAAUUUUCGUAUCCCUUUGGAUAAUUACCCCUUUUGAGACUACUUUCAAAGCAUAGAUCAACUACCAAGUCACGCACCGCUGUGCUCUAAAAGAUAUAAGUGAAGCACAUAGAGCAAAAGUAUCUAGCUCAAAAGAUAUAAGUGAAGCACAUGUGAGCUGAAUUGUCUACCAAAAGAUAUAAGUGAAGCUCGACAAAAUCACGGUGUGUGCAUGUCUAUCUCUCUAGGUGUGCAGCAAGGAUGAUUGUGACACAACAAAAAUAAAAGACUCCUACGAUACAAGACGCUCCAAGCAAAAACACAUAACAUGUGGUGAAUAAAAAUAUAGCCCCAAGUAACGUUACCGAUGGAUUGAAGACGAAAGAGGGGAUGCCUUCCCGGGGCAUCCCCAAGCUUAGGAUUUUACGACAUCCUUGAAUCUCUUGGGGUGCCUUGGGAAUCCUCAAUCUUGAUAUCUUGCCACUCUUUAUCUCUUUGUCCAUAAGAACUUCACCCAAAACUUGAAAACUUCACAACAUGAAACUUCAACAGAAACUCGUGAUAACAUUAGUACAAGAAAGCAAACCACCACUUCCUUAGGUACUGUAGCAACCUUAAAUUCUACUUGUGCUGAUGUUGGAUUACUGUACUUUCAAUCUUCCAUGGCUAAUAACCCCCGAUACUAUCCAUAGUUUCAUCAAAAUAAGCGACCAACACAACAAAAACAGAAUCUGUUAACAGCAGACCAGUCUGUAGAAAUCUGUAUAUUUUGUAUACCUCUGGUACUUCAAAAAUUCUUAAAACUUAGGACAGUAUGAAGAAUUUGUGUAUAAAUCAGAAUAAAAAAGAAUCAACUCAAAAGCUCUUACAGAAACAAAAUGAAAAUUCUUUUCGUGAGCAUAAAGUUUCUUCUUUUCCAGCAUGACCAAACGAUCAUCCCCGAGACUAAUCAUAACGGUUUUGCUUGGCACAAACGCAAAAGAAACACAAAAAACACAAUCAUAACAGAAUUAUGAAAGUACGGAAAACACAAAACAGAAAGAAAAAGGAUAGAUUCGUUGGGUUGCCUUCCAACAAGCGCUUUUGUUUAACGCCCUUAGCUAGGCAAAAGGUGAUGGAAUCACGUAUAGUCAUCUUUGGUGCUCAAACCAUAAGUAGUGUGAUCAUUUAUCAUCUUAAGAUCUUCAUCUUUAUUGUAUGACUCACCACUAGCUUUAGGAACAAAAACAGGCUUGACCGUCUUUUUGAGAGUGAGAUUUGGAGUAUUUUGCACAGCGGCAAAAGCGGAACCCAAGUUGGUUAUGACAUCUUCUAAUUUGCCAAUUCUAGAAGAAUCAUUAACUAUGAGUUCCUUCUCUCUUAAAUUUUUUUAAAAAAAUCCCACUUUGGAUCCGUACUGAGUAAUUUGAUUGUGGAUCUUUCUAUCCAAACCCUCAAUAAGUUCAACUGUGGCAAUUUUGUUUUCAAUAGCGUCAAGCCUUUGCAUCACGUGUUCCAAGGUCAAGGUAGUUCCAUUAACCAUGAGCGGGGGUGAGCCUACCAAAUUCAUGAUAGCUCUAUAGGAGUCAACAGUAUGGCUCCCCAAAAAGUUCCCGCCUACAAUGGUAUCAAGGAUAUACCUAUUCCAAGGAGAAAUUCCAACAUAGAAACUGCGAAGAAGAACGGUAGUGGAUUGCUUACAAGUAGAUCUACUUUGAGCAUUGCAAAUCCUGUACCAAGCGUCCUUCAAAUUUUCUUCCUCAUUCUGCCUGAAAUUGAGAACUUCAUUUUCAGGGGUAUCGUUUGGAGUGGUGGGUCUAGCCAUUGAUAGACUAUCUCACACACAAACGAGCAGGAAGAGAGAGUGCAAAGGGCAAAAGAAAACGACAAAGGAGAAAGGCAAACAAAAACGGAAAAUGUGAAGUGGGGAGAGGAAAACGAGAGGCAACAGGCAAAAAAGUAAAUGCAGGAGAUGAGUUUGUGAGACCUACUUGGAUAGAUCUUGAUCUCUCCUCCCCGGCAACGGCGCCAGAAAUACUUCUGCUACUGCAACAAAAGACCUUCCAAUGGCGCCAGAAAUAGGUGUGUCGACGGCACCAGGAAUCCUUCUGCUACAGCUAUGCCUUAAAGGACUUCCUAGGCAAAUAUGCAAAGGAUUUCCCCCGUGGCCUUGGAUCCUUGCGUUGGUGUUCCCUCGAAGCGGAAAGGGUGAUGUAGCGUAGCGGUGGUAAGUAUUUCCCUCAGUUUGAGAACCAAGGUAUCGAUCGAGUGGAGGAGUAUCACAAGAGCCUGCACAAACACAAAAAGUUUGCUCCCAACGCUAUGAAGGGGUUGUCAAUCCCUUAUAGAUUGUUUGCCAAGUGAGAACUGCAAGCAACAAAGUAACAAAGCAAAGUAAAAGCGAAAGUGGAAACGAUAGGUGUGAAUAGACCCGGGGGCCGUAGCGUUUACUAGUGGCUUCUCUCAUGAAAGCAAGUAGACGGUGGGUGAUUAAAUUACUGUCGAGCAAUUGAUAGAACCGCGCAAAGUCGUGACGUCAUCUAUGGCAAUGAUUAUAUCUAUAGGCAUCACGUCCAAAACAAGUAGACCGAUACUUUCUGCAUCUACUACUAUUACUCCACACGUCGACCGCUAUCCAGCAUGCAUCUAGUGUAUUAAGUCCAAAAGAAAGAGUAACGCCUUAAGNNNGAUGACAUGAUGUAGAUGGACAAUCUCAUAUCAACGACAGAGCCCACCUUGUUACCCUUGAUGGCAACUACUCAAUGUGUGCCUUGCUACCCCUACUGUCACUGGGAAAGGUCACCACAUGGUAAGAACCCAAAACCAAGCACUUCUCCCAUUGCAAGAAUCAUAGAUCUAGUUGGCUAAACAAAACCCAAGACUCGGAGAGACUUACAAGGAUAUCAAAUCAUGCAUAUAAGAAAUCAGCAAAGACUCAAAUAUAUAUCAUAGAUAAUUUGAUCACAAAUCCACAAUUCAUCGGAUCUCGACAAACACACCGCCAAAGAAGAUUACAUCGGAUAGAUCUCCAUGAAGAUCAUGGAGAACUUUGUAUUGAAGAUCCAAGAAAGAGAAGAAGUCAUCUAGCUACUAACUACGGACCCGUAGGUCUGAAGUGAACUACUCAUGAGUCAUUGGAGGGGCGAUGAUGAUGAUGAAGAAGCCCUCCAACUCCAAAUUCCUCUCCGGCAGGGCACCGGGAAGAGUCUCUAGAUGAGAUCUCAUGGAAACGGAAGCUUGCGGCGGCGGAAAAGUAUUUUCGAGGCUCCCUUGAUUUUUUCUGAUUUUUAGGGAAUAUAUAGGCGCAAGAUCUAGGUCAGGGGGCGCGAGGGAGGCCACAAGCCUGCCCACCGCCGCCUCCCCCCUGGUUGCGGAGUGGGGGCUUGUGGGCUCCUUGUAGCCCUCGUGGCUUGGCCCACAGGCCCCCUGAUCUUCUUUCGUUCGGGAAAAAAUCAUUUCGGGGAUUUUAUUCCGUUUGGACUCCGUUCCAAAAUCAAAUCUGAAAAGAGCCAAAAUCACAGAAAAAAUAGGAACUGGCACUUGGCACUGAAUUAAUAAGUUAGUCCCAAAAAAGAUGUAAAAGGUACAUAAAACAUCCAAAGUUGAUAAGAUAACAGCAUGAAACCAUCAAAAAUUAUAGAUACGUUUGAGACGUAUCAGUCCCCAAUCCCAUCUCCGGAGCCCGUUUGCGUUCUUCCGGCCCCAACCAUGUUCGAUAAGCCACCUCAUGGCAUGUGUCAUGAGAAAACGAUGACACCACGAUCAGACCAUACAACUUUAAUUUUUGUGUUCAAUAGAUUUUCAACCUUGGCUUUAUGGACCUUAAAGUUCUCAAAAGCUUCAGAUCGAUCGCGUAUGGGAUAAAUAUACCCCUAGCGGGAAAAGUCGUAUGUCAAUGUAAUGGAUGAAUGAAUCAAAAAUCAUCCACAUGCUUAACAUUAUGGGGUCUACAUAUGUUAGUAUGAAUCAAUUCUAAAACCCAUGUGGAUCUUAAUGCUCCUUUCUUAAUUAUUUUUGGUAUUUUUCUUUAAUGCAAAAAAUCAACACAGUUAGAGUUCUUUGACUUUUGAUGCAUUUAUUAUGUCAAAAGUUCCGUGGGCUCGCGUAACGUGGUAAAUUGGGCUUCGUUCCAAGUGGCCCACCUAGCCCAACUCUAGCUCCGAGUUCGGCUAAAAAAACUCCACUCUUUUCUUUUGAGAAUAAAAAAAUCCCAGCCCUGAAGAGCAGCAACAAGACCCAACGGUGAGAGAGUGCGGCUAGUGGACGGUUGGAGGGGCGCGAGAAAAGGCGAUCGGGAGGCGAACCCAACUGCCCCCAGCGACACCGGCCGCCACCGGUCCCUGCCUCCUCCGUUGCCCACUCCGGCGACGUGAGGAGGUGGGGACCACGGCGCUGCGGCGCGGGCUUGUAGUUAGGGUUGGCCUAGUGUGUUCUGGGGACGCCGUUGGGGUGGUGGGAGCGGCGUCCGGGUAAAUAAAUCUACCUCAACUCUAUUCCCACACCGUCGGCGACCUUCACGGCGGCGUCUCGGAGUUGAUGGCAACGUGUGUUGCUCGGUCCUUCAGAUCGGCAGCUUGGUCUUCUCGUCGUUCUUCAGAUCUGGCGAGAUCAGUUUCUCGGUCUGUCGCUGGCGUUCGUGGUUAUUCGCGAUGGCGCUGGCGGCCGGGUGAGGUGGUUCUUCUGGAGCGAGGAUGCCGGUCCGGAGGUGGUGGAUCUGUCGUUCCUCUCCGACUUCGUCGAUGGGAGACGACAAAUCUUGGUCCAAGACAACACGGGGACGUCCCCCGGUCGACGUGCCACAGCGACAUGUGCCUUGCUGCGUGCAGCGGGCCUGUUCAUCGACUCACAAAGCCUCGUUGGCGAUGGUGCUUUUUCGGACCUUGGGAUGGUGGAGGCUCGGCGUCUCUUCCGGCGUUCGCCUCGGCGGCGCUGGAGUUGGGCGGUGGCCGUUCGCUACGGUGGUUGCAGAAAAUCCUAAGGAUCGUUUUGUAUUUCUCGAUCUUUUAGGAUUUAAUCUGCAAAUUCAGGAUAAUCAUUUUAUCCUAGUUUAUCUUUUAGUUUCCACGUGUGUUGCUUAUUGUAACUUGUUUUUCGAUUAAUGAAAUAUGUGGUUACUAAAAAAAAAAAAAAAACCCAACGGUAAAAGAUGAUGCCGACCAAAGCAGCCCCGACCCUGGCGGCCUCGCACCGUUAAAAUCCCCAACCGUGUCUCAGAAAAAAGGUUAAAAUCCCGAACCCAAAUCGGCCGCCGCCGAGCCCUCGACCGUCGCCGGCGCAGCGGAGCCUUCCGCCGGAGCGCCUCGAACUCCUCCUCGUCCUCCUCCCCGUGCCAUCCUCCACCGGAUCGGCGCGGAUCGGGGACUCACGCGAAUCGACUCCUCCUGCAACGCAGUGUAAGCCCUAGCUUCCCGCGUCGCCGCCGCUUUCAAUCUACAAAUCUCUGCCCCGCAAACCAUCGUGAUAUCGGAUCUAAUUUCGCUUCGAAUUUGUUUGGUCUUUGAUAUUUGCAGCGAGAUGUCGGAGUACCAGAACGUCGUCGGGGGGAAGCUCAAGCUGAAGGGGAAGCCGCUGGAUGUCAAGGAGGGCGGAGUCAAGAAGAAGAAUAAGAAGAAGCACCGCCGCGAGGAGUCCUCUCAAGGCGAGCACGGCGAGCCCCGCGAAGGUACUGCUCGUUUCCACACCGAAAUUGCCGCACAUCCGUUCAGAUUGCUAACGUGAUUUUAUUUUGACUGAACAUUAUGUUAGGGUUGGUAUCAUGACCGAUUUGUUGCACUCUGAAGUCUAAACGAUUGAUUUAACCCAUCUGCUGGUUAGCUCAUUGAUAGAUCACUGUUGUCUAAACGAUGUUUUGCUUGUUAUGUUAUUUAUGCCCACGGCAUGGAAUAUAUUGCUAAAAUAACCGUGUGUCGAUGAGCAUUAGUGUGUGCUAUGGCUGGUACUAUGCUAGUUUUGUUGCGCUCUAAACAUGGAUAUGCUUUUGAGCCAUCUGAUGGUUAGUUAAUUGAUAAGAUGGCCAUUGUCUAAAUGCUCGUUGUUUGUUCUAUAUGUCCACGCAAUUAUUAUGGAUGAUCAUAACACAAAUAUUUACUUGUUUAAUAUGCAACUUUGCUUCCCUAUGUAUACUUGGCGCCAGUUGGGGUAUACUUUUUGAUACUUCGUAGUUUGUGCUUUGUAGCUGGUUGACUGUUUUGCUGACAUGAUUUCUUAUUUGAUUUGGCAAAAAAUACAGUAGGAAUAGACAAAAGAAUUGUAGUGCUGUUACUUGAGCGACUAUAAUAAUGUUAUAGCUGUUAAGUGGGAUUAGAGGUUGUAUCUGUGUGUGCUAAAGCUAAUUUCGAACUAAUAAGAAAUAGAUCUUGUGUCUUUUGUUGGUGGUGCUUGUUAGUUUCAGUACUCUACAGUGAAUGUGUUUGACCCUUGGACUAAAGGUAGUCAAAUUCACUAGAUAGAAGAUGCUAACAUCUUGGCUUCCGGACUAGCCUUUAUGAAAAUAGUCUUCCAAGUUGGGGCAAUUAGACUAAAUUGGACAAAGCGGAGCCUAUCAAAUAGGAACUUGUCACUUUGAAAUGGCACAGUGCUUAUGUUGAUUUGCUGAGUGGUUGAACCUCGAGAGUAGUUGCCCUAUGUACUUGAUUGUAUGUAUUCAAACUUGGUAUGCUUUGUCCAUUUGCCCAACAACUUGACUGUUUUGUGUUUUUACAAUCUUUUAUGUGUCUGUCUUGUGUGUGUUACAGAACUCUUUACAAUCUAAAACUGCUUUCUGCUGAAUAUAUAUCACAUCUAACUCAAUGGUUAUUCUUCAGGUGGAAGCUCUGAAUUGCCAGGUGACCCUGACAAUGAGUUCAGUGAAGCUCACAAGCUGGGAGACGAAGGGAAUGCACAAGCUGAUUAUGACCACCUCACUCCAGCCGAGAGGCGUUACAUUGAACAGAAGCAGAAGAUCGACGUACACAAGCUGGCCAAGGUGGCCGACAAGUCGCACAGGGACCGAAUCCAGGACUUCAACCAGUACCUGGCAAAUCUUAGUGAGCACUAUGAUAUCCCAAAGGUCGGCCCUGGCUAAUUAAGGUUCGUACGAGUGUUCCAGUGUGCUGGACCUAUGCAUGCAGCUCGUCAAUUUCGCGUGUGUGCACACUGAAACAAUGGAUUGUGUUGUCUUCAGAGAAAAACUGAGUACCUCUGCACUUGUAAACUGAUUGCACUUUAUCUCUGUUUGAAGACCAUGGUUUAAUACUUAUUACAAGUGUUCUGAGUACUUUCUUGUACAUUGAUACUUCCUCCGCUCCAGUUUAUAAGUCAUGAUUCUUGAGUAUCAAGUCUAGUGCUUCUUUCAACCCUUCUUGUUAGAACCCUUAUUGUUAGAGCAUCUCUAAAAGAUGAUGUGCCCAAAAACUGCAGUAGGUGUCUUGUAUAUCUAUAUGAUGCCCAAGAUACAUUACAUUAAGCCCCUAAAAUUUGCUGCAAUGGUUGCAUAUUUGCAAUACCUCUAGAAGAUGUUGCAAAAAUGAAAAGGCUGCCGUGUGAACCAAAUCGCCCCGACCGAAAUUUCCUCGCUGAAAAACAAAAAAGGCUGCUGCAGGAACACAAUCGCCCUGGUUGAAACUUCACCAUCACCACUCCUGGCCAAUUCUCGAUGACCUGCCAAAUGGCAUCCCAUGCUAUUGGGAUCCCUGCCAAAUGCCCCCGUAACAAUCUCGCAAUUUGCAUCAUCCAUUGGAGAUCCUCUUAGUAUACUACUUAUGUCGAGAUUUGACAAUCUAUGGGACCAGCAAAGGGCCCCUUUGCAGUUCGAUUAUGGGAAUCGUCGUGCACAAAUAGCGGAACCAACAAUCAAUACAAACAGAGGGUUUUGUUUUUUUGGCAGUGUGCUAUUUUUCCCCUUGGUCUAUUGGCAGCAUGCUAUUAACGAGGCGUUGUACACAUAUUUAUUUAACGAGCCAAUUCCGAGUAUACUAUGGCUAUCAGCGACGCUAUAACACACUACUCUUUUUCAUUGAUUUAGACAGGUUUGGGCCACCCUACGGUAUAAUACCCCACGCCCUGUACUUAUGGAUUAUGUGAAUGAAAGUCCAAGUUACAAGAAGUGCUACUUGCCGGCAAGAUGCUCGGGAAGUGCGGCUACACAUGCAAAAUCAACAAGGAGUCGAGCCUUCAAAAGGUCACCAUGAUCUCCUUUUAUAGACUACAGGGUUACCACAAUGAUAAAAUUGAUAAUUACAUGAAGUAACCACAUGGGGUAACUACAUACAUGAAAGGAUGUCGACAAAGUUGACACAAUGUUGACUUCAGAAUGAUGGUCCGCCACCGGAAAUGCAAUUCGGCUCCCGGGGCCAAAAAAAAAGUUUGACAUGACAAAAAAAUCAAGACAAAAUUUAUUUGUGUAUUUUGUCACAUCCAAAUGUUACCUGCAAAUUCUGAGGCAAAAAGGUAAAACAUUUUGGCUUGUGCAAAAAAAAAAACAAAUCGAACAUCAAAAGUUACCCCAAAAUGUCAUCCUAAAUUUGUUUGUUUUUUUCCUGACGAAACACCGCUGCACCUUAUCGCACAAAAAUUAUCAUGCAUGUUUGUGACACUAAUACAAUCAUCUACAAAAAAAAUUAAAUUUUUAAAAAAACAUUUCAUACUUUUUUCGCAUUACUGUUUACCCGGGAGCAUAUGCUCCCGGAAGCAAAACACUGCUCCCAGUCCGCGACGCUCUACCUAACAGCAUGCGCGCCGCCACCCGUCAAGGACAAGUGAGAGAGGGAGGUCACUAAGGAGCUUGUCAGUGCUGAGCUUGAGAUUAUCUUCUUGAUGGCCUGCCUGAAAGUAUUGGUUUGCCAGCUCGGCGGGACGGUUUUGCAACAGCCCUAUGUCGUCAAGACCCCAUGCCUAAAAGGUUUGUGAAGCCCUGGUUCUCACUACAUCAACUUAUGGAAAAAACUUUCAUGGAGAAAUCAGGCAAUAAGAAAAAACUUUCACGAAGCAAUCGGGCUAUGGGACAGUUCUUUUCAGUUCUUUUCUGUGAUUCUAGCAUGUAAUUGUUGUAUGAGUUGUGUGUUAAAAUGUCUCAAACGCCCUUAAGUUGAAAUGUUUGAUGAAUCGCAAACACUGAAUUAUUUCUAACAGUUUAUGUCUAAUAUGAAAACAAAAACAAGCUGCAAAUCCUGGAAGUGGCGACCCGACAGAAAGGAGAGGAGAAGGGACAGUCGGUCUUGGGCAGCGGCACAGGCGACGGAUCUAACGAGGCCGAGGCCAGGGUCUGGGGCGGCGGAUUAGGGUGACAGCCGUCGUCAAGAAGUGGCAGCAUGGCGAGGAGAAGGGGCGGCCGGUCUCGAGCAACGGCGCAAAAGCCUCCCGCCAACGGAUCUGACGAGGUCAAGGAUGGCGGAGUAGGGUGACGACAGCGCUGGGGUGGGAUGAGCACGGGGAGCAGGAGUGAGGGGGAGAGCGGAGGGCUCGUUUUGGCUUUGUAGCGGUUUGACCAUAGUGUAAUUUGGUUGUUCAAUGGAUAUGAGUUCCAAACGAAAGGUUUUCUUUCGAGGGGCUGGUUAGAAUUACAAGAAUUGACAGGUUCCCACAAUUCUGAAAUGGACUGAUUCUGGUAAUUCCCAGAUGAUUCCAGGGGAAGGAGUUCUUUUGUAAUUGUAAUUUUCCGGACAGUAAUUCUCCAAAAUUGAGUCAAAAAAACUGGCCCUAUACGUAAUGCAAUGGGAAAUAAUUUACCAGCGUAUGGCAGAAAUUGAUUUACAGUUGAUCUCGGAUCAAACAUAAACAAGGUUAACUUUUAAAGAUCCAGCUGUUAUGCUUAGUCACAACACUCAUAAAAAUCAAUAUCUUUCAAUAGAAAAUAAUUCACUUACAUUGCACCAACGUAAUACAACUCUGUCACAAUUCAUACACCAGGUCAAUGUAACACAGAAAGAAUUUUAUGCCUCGCUGUCUCAACCGUUACAAAAUCGCCCUAGCUUUCAUUUACAUCUAUACCUGGGAAUUUAGAUAUUUGAAACAAAGUACAAUGGUAUCACGUACCAACCUUGCCAGCGAGAUGAACACACAAAAUAUACCUCUGUCAACCUUCCACGGAACCUACUAGCCAAACUAUACUGAUAACCUCCAUUCCGAUAAAAAAAGAAGUUCAUAUUAGUUUUGUCUACAAAUUCAAAACAAAGUACUACAUUUUCCUUGAAAAUGCCAGUGCAGCAAAUAUUUAUUACAAAGAGCACAAUUCAUGAGAAACAAUCAAAGAACUUUGUAGACAAUGUAUAGUUGUAUCAACAUUAAAUACUUCAGAUUAUACAACCUCAUUGGCAUGAAACACAUUUUUUCUAUCAAAGAAACAUCAUACAACAUAAAAAACACAUAGCCACAUCAUACAACAUAACAAACCCAACAUGUGCAGUUACAAGCUACAAUAAACAAUCAGAGAACUUUGAAGACCAUGUAUGGUUGUAUCAACAGCAGAUACUUUCAGAUCAUAUAGUCUCCUCAUUUUGUUCAAGCAUCACCGCUACACAUUGAGGAGAUAUAGCUACCAAUGAAGCAAGAAAAAAUACCAAUCAAAGAACUUUAAAGACCCAUAUAUGGUUACAUACUGAUUUGCAUUUUGCAAGAAAUACAAUUAUGUUUAAGAACAGUUAUGUGGCUGCCACUGCUUCAGCAGCAUUUCAUUUGUGCACCAUGUUUAACAUCCCAUCGUCAUAAUAAGAAAAGCAGAAAUGAACACAUUACAGAUGCACAAGUGAAAACAGCAAACAAUGCAUAGAGAUUUGAAACAAGCAGCAUUUUGACACAAAAUGGACAGCCAGCUUAACAAGCAUUUUGACAAACAUGGCAAAUCAUUGCACACAGGAAAUGUGGGAUAGAUUUAGUAGACGAAUAGCAUAUCGGCCAUUCAUCUGUGGAUCUAUCUCUACGGUUGUCUGGCCGCUGCUGCCCCAAGGAGCAACUUUUCCUUUUUGCACCAAUGUUAUAUCCAACUAGCAUGGCUAGAAAGUAGGACAAUACAACACACAGGUGCAACACAAAGACCACAUACAGGAUAUUUCUGCAAUGCUAAACUAUCCUAUGACGCUAAAUACAAAAUAACCAUCAGAAAUGUGAGAUAGAAUUAGUAGACAAACAGCAUAUUAGCCAGUCAUCUGUGGAUCUAUNNNNNNNNNNNNNNNNNNNNNNNNNNNNNNNNNNNNNNNNNNNNNNNNNNNNNNNNNNNNNNNNNNNNNNNNNNNNNNNNNNNNNNNNNNNNNNNNNNNNNNNNNNNNNNNNNNNNNNNNNNNNNNNNNNNNNNNNNNNNNNNNNNNNNNNNNNGUCUGGCCGCUGCUGCUCGGAGGAACAGCUUUUCCUUUUUGCACUAGUGUUAUAUCCAACUAGCAUGGGUAGACAGUAGGACAAUACAACACAGGUGCAAUAUAGAGAGCAAAUACUAGAUAUUUCUGCAAUGCUAAACUAUCCUAUGACGCUAAAUAAUAGAUAACAUCAGAAAUGUGAGAUAGAUUUAGUAGACAAGCAGCAUAUUAGCAAUUCAUCUGUGGAUCUAUCUCUACGGUUGUCUGGCCGCUGCUGCCCCAAGGAGCAGCUUCUCCUUUUUGCACCAGUGUUAUGUCCUACUAGCACAGCUAGAAAGCAGGACAAUAGAACACACAGGUGCAACAUAUACCCUACAUACGGGAUAUUUCUGCAAUGCUAAACUAUAGUAUGACACUACAAUACAGGAACAUAACCAUCAGAAAUGUGAGAUAGAAUUAGUAGACAAGCAACAGAUUAGCCAUUCAUCUGUGGAUCUAUNNNNNNNNNNNNNNNNNNNNNNNNNNNNNNNNNNNNNNNNNNNNNNNNNNNNNNNNNNNNNNNNNNNNNNNNNNNNNNNNNNNNNNNNNNNNNNNNNNNNNNNNNNNNNNNNNNNNNNNNNNNNNNNNNNNNNNNNNNNNNNNNNNNNNNNNNNNNNUGUCUGGCCGCUGCUGUUCAAGGAACAGCUUUUCCUUUUUGCACCAAUGUAAAAAUAUCCCACAAAUAUGGUCAGAAAGCAGGAUAAAACAAAGCAAAGGUGCAACAAUUCUGACUUCUUUACAAAGUGUGCAAACACACAUAAAACUGAUACUUCUGAUCAUACGGACUCCACAUUUUGCUUCAAAAAAACUUAAAACAUGCAUUUUCUUCCUGGGUAAACAUCAAGAUUCAAGAAAGAUUGUUAACACAUUGCAAAGAAGAGACGAGGGCUGUACGCACACAAGUAAGCAAUCAGAGAACUUUGAAGACCAUAUAUGGAUGUAUCAGCAUCGGAUACUUCAGAUCAUAUGACCUCCUCAUUUUGCUUCAGAACAACUUAACAUGCACAUUUCUACUCGGGCAACAUCAAAAUCCAAGAAAGGGUGCACACAUAUUGCAAAAUAUAUAAGAAAAGUGGCAAGGUAAAUCUAGAUAGGCGCCAAAUACAAACGUGUUGAUUGCUUUCAGAUGUGUUGACUGCUUUGCUAAGACAUGUAAUAGAACUAAGGUGAACAAACACAACUAGCCACACAUGAGAGAUUCGAGCACGAAGCGAUCAGAGAACUUUGAAN